rnacentral:lncRNA from 1 species
AAAUUUGUUGCUCAACAUGAUGUGUAUUUUUUUUCAAGGCAAUUUGGAAACACAAUUGUUACUACAGAUAUUCUUCUCAACUUGGAGAUAAAUACAAAUAUUAAAAUGCAUAUGAUCGCACAUAUUACUUCGAGUUUAGUAAGAUUUCAUUAAAAGAAGCAAUCAAACCACUUAUCAAUUGUCGCAGUCGUUCUAUAAACUAAAAUAGCAAUAUAAUACAAGAAAAAGAACAUAUAGAUACUUGGCAAGAGUUCAUUAAGAAGUCGCAUCACAUUCGGGUGAGGAGUUUGCUUCUGAUAUCUUGCUAGCUGGGGCUUUUUCUUGUCUUUCUAUGUAUGCCGAGGGAAACCAACCAGCUUGGCCCUUGCAUUCACCUUCCGACCAUCCAAUAGGAGCCACCUUGAGAAGUUAUAACUAAAACGGUGAAUUAAACAAAAGUUGACCGUUCAAAGACCUAAGGGGAAAACUAAUUCUUUUCACGUAGAAGGAGUGAACUAGUUGUGAUCACUGAAAUAACAACAUAACUAUGGAAGCAUAACAAGAUAUAAAUUCACAUGGCUAUAAGGGUAAACUGAGUGGUUUAGAACUGAGCUAGCAACCCUACUAUAUUCUGAUUUGCACUUCAAUGUAAAAGGGAAUAUAUGGUAGGAAGAAAGAAAACCAACCAGCAUUUGUUAACUCAUUGCUUUUCAAUCAAAAUUUUAAGAACAAAAUGCCAUGUGCUUUGAACAUCAAAUAAGUAUAAGCAUUAGUUCUAAAUUCCACAUAUCAUAAGUUGUUAGAAGGAUAAGUUAAUAGCAGAGUAGAAAAAUCUAUGUGUUGGUAUUUAGAGGGGAAAGUACCUGGCGAACCACAACAUAAUCAUCAAUUGAAAGACUUAGCUUUCCAUUUGCUUGAGCAUCAAAUGGAUGUAUAACCUGCAAGAUAAUGGGAUAAAUAGAACUUAAAAAAAGCAUAACAAAAGCAGCAACAGUAGCAGCAACGUUCAUUGUAACCACUAUGAUCAUGGCCAACAAAGAUAUAUUAGAAACAAAAUUCCAUUUUUACUACGACAUUAAUAUGUACUAUACGAUAUCAUGACGAUUGGGUUACUAAGAGCUAUCAAAGUCUAAUAAGUUCUGUAUAACUUUAUGUAGUUAUUUAAAUUAUGGAUCAGAUUUUAAAUUUGAAAUUUUGACUGCUCUCCACAAAACAUGGCCUAUGCACAAGAAAGUCAUAGAUAAUGAGGAUUACAAGUGUCCGACAUCUUUUGAGUGAUGGAUUUAACAUGAGAGCUUAUGGUCAGUCAAUUUCCUCUGCCUAGCAAUAUAAGCUUUCUCGGCCAGAUUUAUCAUCAAAUACAUAGAUUGCCCCCAAGUCACAUCCAUAUAAACAUAGUUUUUCUAGGUAAACCAAGUAAGGAGUAUCAUAAUUAAGACAUAAUCAUAAAAAGGCUCAUCUAACUUAAGAGAAAAUCUCAAAAAGAGGGAUGCUGAGCUAUCAGUCUUGUAUCUAUAAGCAAUAUCAAGACUUUACAUCACCUGCUACAUCGUGAGUGGCUACACAACUUUCAGUGGUUUGUCUUUCUUUGGCAUGCCUAACUCAGCUUUGAUGUUGCUGAGAUAUUGAUAGUAGAGACACUCAGACACAUGAUACUUCUAGCUCAUGCAUUCUAUCUAACUCAUCCAACAACUAUCUCUUUUUUAAUUCAUUAGUGUUUGCUAAACCUCAUGCUUAAAAGUCCUGUUCUCCUAAACAAAGUUUCCUAAGAAUGACUUCCUUAGCACCACAGUUGGACACUUUUAGAGCAAUUUUAUUUGGGGGGAAAGAAUUUUCAAGGUGUUAACCAAUAAAUUUUAAAAAAUAAUUACAAUUUGUCCUACGAUCAUAUGACAAUUUAUCUGGGAUGAAAGGAUACAGAUAGACAUCUUCCACUUUCAAGACUAAUCACUACUUCCGUAGAUGUUGUCCAAUAAUACAAAUACUUGACCAGAUGGUAGUGAUGGUAGAAAAAAAUUUUAUUGCUCCAAAAUUAAAAUAAGAAUGCAAUAUGUUAAGCAAAAUGCUGUUCAACAUCAAAUUAAUUGAUAAGUUUGUAAUUCAGUAAAUUAACAACUUUCAUGGUAAAAUACAACAAAUUUCUUUUGAAAAAAAUAAAUAAAAUAAAUCUUAAAAGACAGCAUUCAAUUUUGUGCACAUCUUAUUUCUUAAGAUUUUUCAGGAGGAGGGCAAUAGAGGGACUUUCACCUAUGCAAGAGAGCAGAAGCCUUACUUUCCCUAUAAAGUAGACGUCAUUCUGAUUAAUAUGCGUUUGCAAAUCAGCUCCGUUUGAAUCAGUAUUCUGAUAGACACACGAGGCAUUUACAUCCAUUUCCAAAGUCACAUGUUGCGAGGAGGACUCAUUUGAUUGCUCCUAUACGAUCAUCUAAUUCAAGUAGCAAGGGUUGGAAGAGAAUAAAAAGUCACAAUUAUUCUUUUGCAUAAGUGAGACAAAAAUGAUAAAUGCAAUAUUAUCAGCAGUAAACAAGAAGAGAACGCUCCAAGAAAUAGAUAGAUGCAGACAAGCAAGUUAAAAUGCAUAGUCCCAAACCUCCGCAUACAACUUCUCUAAAAUAGCAAUAACGUGUUGAUGCUAUGUUUUCUCAGCAUCUACCUGCAAAGGCCCGAGACCAGGAAAACAACAAUAAAACCACUAGCUGAAGGAGAAAGCAAAGAAAGAAAUACGCUUGACAUAAAUCUUGACAAGAAGCACAAUUUAAGACAUAACAAACCCCAAUCAUAUUGUUUAGAACUACCAUUCGUUAUUUCGUUAUUGUAACAUUUCGAACAAGUGUUGACUUAAUUCAACAUUGUUGGAAAGAUAGGCUUUUAGAAGCAGAAGAAAGCCUCUCAAACCAAAGUGCUUGUCCUUGUAUUGAUCAAGGGAUGUAAACAUAUUACAUUUGCAGGAUGAGAUUUAAUCACUCCCCUGAUUUAUUUGGGUUGCAAUAAAACUAAGCGAGCAACUGUUUGACUUUCAAGCAACAGCUAAAUCAGCUAUUAAAAUUCAAAUAAAAUCAUAAUAGAAUAAUAACAGGCCAUCUUGCAUCAAAAAUUAAGUUUAAUUUGUGAAUUUUUUUCUAUAGACAUGUCAGUUUCUGCUAUUGAAAUGUUAAAAGCAUUGAAAAAUUAUUCAAUAAAUUAUGCAAGCAUUAAAAUAGAGGACAAAUUAAAAAGUUUCUAAUUACAAUGUUAAUAUUUCCUAUAUUUUAGCAUUUGCAUAUUUUAAUUUAUUUAAAAGCUACGUCGAUCAACUUUGGGCAUGAAGAUUUUAGCUUCUACGAGACUUGAUUGGAAUAUGCAUAAGAGUGUUAAAAUAUGAUGCAUCCAACGAAAGACAAACCACGUGUAGUCUUUUAAUUAAGCCAAAGUAGCAGCUCAAACAAAUGACACUUGGACCAACAUGCAAUCAUGAAGUGGCCGGAAAAAGGACAAAUGCUACUUUGGCUUAAAUAAAAAAUAACAUGUGACUUGACUUUUGCUGGACAUGCAUCAUGUUAUUACAAGACAACAGAAAUCAGUAUGAUAGUAAUAAAAGUUGACAAUAACAUGAAGAUAAGAGGCAGAAUGUCAACACAUGCAUAGGCACACACAAGAAAGUAUUAACAUAUAUACCAUAGCAAAAACUCUUUGAUAUGUCAUCUGUUGCUGCUGUGAUUCAACUGACAGCAUGGCAGCUGUCGCUUCUCUACCAAGAGCCAUUAUUGUAGAUUUAAGCUCGGUCAAUCUUGCUUCUGCAUUUCGAAGCUUCACAGCACUCUCUGCUGAUAUAUCAGAUUCCCUAAUCUUUGAUCGGUGCCUAAAUACUUCAGCUGCCUGGUGAAAAUAUUCAAUAUAAAUCUAAUAUAAUUCUCAUCUUGCCUUAUACAUGCAUAUGUUACGUCAAAGCUUACCUGGGCUUCAACUUCAUGUCGAAUACAUCAGCAAUGAUGCUUUCAUAGCAUGAAAGUGUCUAAAUUUAACUGAAUGAUCUUGAUUAAUCAAUUAUGAGUUUUAAUCGAGUAAAAACUAAAUACAAUAAUCGUUAACAAAUAUUGAAAUUGGGUAAAUAUGAUCUUGAUAUUGAUGAAUUUGAAAUCACAACCCACACAGGAAAUUCCCCUUCGCGUGGGGAUGGAGAUGUUUACUGCAGCGAUAUUGAAUAUGUCCACUGCUCUUUGGGUUAUGGUGCGACUUGCCCUGAAACAAUGGAAAAGAUUAACAUACCCUCCAAUGAAUGAAAACGGGUGGACUAAUUCGGAUUACCUAAUUGACUCAGGAUCGGCUGGCAAUAAUAACAGUUUAUUAACAAUGCACAGUCCGAGUACUUUUCCAGGAUCAGAUGCGACGUGGUCUAAUGUUGAUAAUAAUAGAUUAUCAAAUGACAAAUCGUUGUUCUUGGGUGGUGAUUUCAGAAAUAAAAUACAUUCUGAGAGAUGCUGGUGUACUAUUGCAAGCCCCCAGAUUUAAGAAUCUUUUGAUGAUAAUUUAUCACCUGCAGCUGUGCCGGAAGAUUCAAGUAGCACUGAAAAAGAUGAUAAUGUAAUUGAUAUGGACAGUUUCCAUAUCACUUUUAAAUCAUCUUAUGUAAUUGUAAUGUUAGGAAGCAUUAGUGAUCUAAAAGUGAACUAUUAUUGGUGUCAUUGGUGGUUUUAUCUUGUUAAAAUAUGGAUGACUUCCUGUUACUAUUUUAUUGUAGACAAUCUUAUUUAAUUAACAUAUGGUUUAAAACCAUUAUGUUUUAUGUAAAUCAAUCUAUUAAUUUUCGUAAUAUUUAACUGAGUUAAAACCAAGUGCACUCAAUAAAUGUCUUUUCCUUCAAAAAACUGCUACGCUUUGAUUUUAGUGCUUAAUAUUUCGUAACUACAGAUUAUCUAAUUGCGAGUUGCUGUCCAUAGCUGCUAAUUUAUAGUGAUUAUCUAAUUGACGGAGGUGACAAUAAUUCUUUUAUUUUCAAUAGCACAACGUGGAAUUCAAUAAUUAAAUUCUCCUGUUUAAUUUGUUUUAAGUUAAAUUAUUAAUUACUUAAACUCUGUUUUAAGUCUUUAAUUUUCUGUGUUUAUGCAGAAUUGGAUUCUUGAGCGUGUUGGACAUGACCAACAAUGAAAUUGACUGUAAACAAACAUUACAACGUGUGGACUCCGGUAGCUACCCCGCAAGUCUACAACUUCACAAAUAAUAAUUGAGUAAGCACCUUUGAUUUUUUAGCCCCGUUGACUCCACCGACUAAAGUUUUGUAAAAUAAAAAAAAAUACAUAGAAUUCCACCAAAUGCAAAACGCGUGGAAUUUAAUUUUCGGCCGUGUAGAUCAAAACAUAAUUUAACGAAAAAGGAAAAAAAUGAUAAGAUUUUUAAAAUGUGUGGAAGAUGAUCCAUAUUUUACUGAAACAACUUGUUAAAUUUUUCAAGGAUUUAAAAUAUUUGGUCAUAAAUUACGUGCAUGUUAAUUUUUCCGCCAUUGACUAUCAUAUUGUAGACUUAAUGGUACCUUUCUUGAUGAAGGGUGCUUAAUCUCUCUUCUCCUCUUAUAAAAAUUAUAUUAAUUGAUUUCUUGUUAUAGUUAAUAGUCUUCAAGAACGGAUAGAUUUAUUGUUUUCAUGACCAAAUUAUGCAUGCCUAACGUUGCAACUAUUAAUAAAAUUAAUAUUUAAUGUUUGUGUUAAAAUAUAUAAGAUUUUAUGCAUUCAUUAAUUGUUAUUAGCUAAAGGAUGAAUUAUUUUUUCCCAAUCAGUUGAUGCAUCUGCAAGAGUUUUUUUUUUUCUUUUAUUGACCAUAAUUAUAUUCCGGGUACAAUAAAUUGUCUUUGGUGCUUGGAAGAUAUGACAUCUCUCUGUCAACUUACUGGAAAUAUCUCCUCAUCUACUCUCAUUUAUCUAAUAUCAAUUGAAGAUCUCAUAUUUCCAAACUAUGACUUCCAAAUCUCAUUAUCAUUUGAGCAUUCAAAACUAAUCAAGUGUGGAAAUAAUCAAAUAUAUGCAAAAAUCGAGUCACAAUCUUUGGCCCCUCAAAAUUCUAAUUAUAUAACUUCAUAUCUCAUACAUUUUCCAAAUUCCUCUUCCAUCAACAUCACUAGGAGUAUGUUCAUCUCUCACACAUUAACUUGAGUGGAGAGUUUCCAAAUUGAUUGUCAGAAAACAAUACAAAAGCUAGACAAACUUGAUCUGUCUACUAAUUAUCUUUCGGUAAAAUUAAUUAAUUUUAGGGUAAUAUUCAGCCAACCUCUGUAAUUUUAGAGUGAUCAUUAAUUAAUUAAACGAUACAAUAUCUAAAGUGAUUAGAUGUUUGCGGACAAUACAAGUUCAUGGCUUGAAAUUUGAUCUCUAUCGAUUGGUUUACAGAUGGACGUACUUGUGCCUUUGUGGUGAUAAUUGAACCAGAGAUGUGAAGCUGAUAGUAAAUUGUUAUAAAGGCAUAAAGACAAGUUCCCAUGAUUAUUAUUUUUUCCAAAAACUAUUUUACAACAAAUUCAUCUCGCCAAAAAUUCUAUUUUGCUAACUAACAAUAAUUGAGCACUUGACCGCAUUGACUCCACGUCUCCAGCUACUUUCUAAGUAAAAACAUGGAAAUGUAAUCUCCACAAAAUGCCAAACGUGUGGAAUUUAAUUUUUGGCCUUGUGGACCAAAAUGCAAAUGAAAGAAAAAGAAGGAAAAAAACAAGGCCCAAAGACUUCUAAAAGAUGUAAAAGUCUUUGGGUUUUUUUAUAAUGGUGGAUUUUUUAAAAGAAAAAAAUAACAACACUUCUAUGGUUUGUUUUGAUAAUCACAUUUACAUAUACUCUCUAAUUUUCAAAAUGGACACAUAAAUCUUUUUUUUCUACAAAUGUAUAUUAUUCGUAUUGUUUAUUAUUUUUAAUAUCAUAUUGUUAUUUAUUAUAAAUGUUUAAAGUAAUUUUUAGGUUGAAAUAUAAUAAAAAGGUAUAAUCGUUCUCUUAUUAAACACCCAUACUUUUAGUUUCUAUCCAUUUGUCAUCUCAAUCUCUCUCAAUUAUUCUUUAUUGCUAGCUCAAAACGCGUUGCUGUUGCAAAUUAUAGCAAAAAGACAAAUAUGGAAAAGAAAAAAGGGUAGAAAAUUAAUGCAUGAAAGACUUGGAGAAAACAACGAAGUAAGUCAACUAUAAUCUAGCUGGGUGUAUAAAUUGUUUGAUGCUUUAUAAGCAAAUAACAUACAGAGACAGACAAUGUGUGUUCGUUUUUUCAUAGUUAAAGAUAUAGUUAGAAUGGGUGGUUCAAAAUCAAAAAUGGUGAUAAUGUUUGUUAUGUUAUUAAUAAUAUUUAAAAGUGGGUGGAGUGAGGGAUGUUGGGAUCACGAGAGAUUUGCUCUUUUGCGACUCAAACAUUUCUUCGAUGAUACUGGUAGUUAUCUUUACGACUGGGUAGAUGAUGAGGGAGCUACUGAUUGUUGUCAAUGGGAAAGGGUUGAGUGCAGCAACACCACAGGCCGAGUGAUAGCGCUAGACCUUUUUGAAAUGUAUUCGGGAGAGUACAGCUGGUAUCUGAAUGCUUCUUUGUUUACUCCCUUCCAACAACUUGAGUCACUUGAUUUAACUGACAACAAUAUAGCUGGUUGUGUUGAGAAUGAAGGUGCUUCGUUUAAUUUAAUUAAUUUACUUUCUCCCCCCUAAUUUAAGUUGAAUAUCAAGACCGAGCAACUAUACGCAUAUUCAUUUAGUCGACAAUUUUGACUUUUUUUUUAAGUGAUUAAUUAAUUUUAAAAUUACACCAAUAUCUAUGAUCUUUUUUUUUUUUUAAUUUUGCUUGCAGGUCUAGAGAGGCUAUCAAGAUUGAACAACUUGAAGAUGCUUAAUUUAUGUGAUAACUCGUUCAACAAUAGCAUUUUAUCAUCACUAACUCAUCUUUCAUCAUUAAGAUCAUUAAAUUUAUACGGGAAUAGAUUGGAAGGAAGUAUUGACGUUAAAGGUACAUAAUUAAAACUUCAUCCCUUAUCCAAGCUCUUUCAUUAACUUGCUAAAAUAAGAUUCAAGGCUUUGAAUUCAAUUUUUUUUUUAUGAUUAGUAUUAAAAAAACAGUUUCAAGCAAUUUAUAAAUACAAGUUUUAAUGUUUCUCAUAAUUUCAUCUUGUACUUUGAUAUGUCUCGAAUUUAAGAUUAAAAAAAAAAAACUCUAAUAGCGAACCAAACACCUCCACAACUUAUUAUUAUUAUUAUUAUUUGUGGUGAGGUUUGAAACAUUCAACUCAAUUUGUACUUAUUACAGAAUUUGAUUCUUUGAGAGAUUUAGAGGAGCUAGACAUUGGUGAGAACAAGAUUGACAAAUUUGUGGUCUCAAAAGGUACUACAAAUACCAUAAAAAAAAUGCUAACUUAUUCAAAUUAGUUGGAUUCUUUGCCAUUUGGUUUAUUAUUUUGCAGGUUUGAGUAAGCUGAAGUCUCUCGAUUUAAGUGGUAUGAAACUCAAUCGUAGCAUCUUAUCUUCUCUUUCUUCGUUAAGAGAAUUAUAUAUAAGUCGUACGGGAUUCAAAGGAACAUUUGAUGUUCGAGGUAAGUCUAAGCCUUGCUUUCUCAUUUUAUAUAUGCCAACUAGAUUUGUGUAUCAUCGCCAUAAUUUAAUAUUUAAUUUGAUAAGUCUGAAGGAAUUACAUGCUAAUUUAAACAUACUUUUAUUUACUUUGUCCAUUAAUUAAUUAAUUACUAUUUGGCUUGGUUUGGAUGAAAUUCUCAUGAUGUUUUAAUUUCUUUAAAUUAAUUAAUUAAUUAACUCUGUUUUUAAGUCUUAAGUCUGGGCAUGUUUGCAGAAUUUGAUUCCUUCAAUAACUUAGAAGUGUUGGACAUGAGUGGCAAUGAAAUCGACAAUCUUGUGGUUCCUCAAGGUAAACAAUUAAAAUAUUAUUCAAUUACAUUAUUUUAAUUCAUUUGAUUAGAGAAGGCCAAAAAGGUCCCAAAAAAAAAUAAUAAUAAAGAAACAGAUAAUUUGUAUUAUUUAAAAAACAUAGUGUAAUAAAGAUUUGAUUCUAGUUAUUUAAUCUUUAAAGCGAUUGAAAAACAAUGUUACUCUUUUCCCAAAGCAUAAAAUACGAAUUGAAUGCCAAUUAACUUAAUCAUUCAUUUCGUUUAGCUCUAAAUUUAGACAAUGAAUUUUUAUAUUAUUUCAAAAACAAGACGUAAUAGAAUUUUUUUAAAAAACAGAUUGUAAUAAAGAUUUGAUUCCAAUUCUUUAACCUUUACAGUGAUUGAAAAACGAUACUGCUUCCCAAAGCAUAAAAUGCAAAUUGACUCCCAAUUAAAUUAAUCAUUUAUUUCAUUUAGGUCUAAAUUUUAGAAAAAUGAAUUUUGAUUCUCUUCAAUCUUUUCUUAAUUAUUAUUAAAAAACAGGUUACAGAGGUUUGAGGAAGCUGAAAAGCCUUGAUCUAUCGGGAGUUGGAAUUAGAGAUGGAAGCAAGUUGUUACAGUCAAUGGGAUCAUUCCCAUCCCUCAACACUCUUUACCUGAGGGAUAAUAAUUUUACCGAUAUAGCGACAACUACUACUCAAGGUAAGUAAAAGGUACAAAUGUGGCCAAAUUUAUAAAUAAACUGUUAAUUAAUUAAUUUUUCCGUAUUAUUAAUUAAGCUAAAUCCGUUGCUCCUUCCUUCUAAAUCUAAACAGAGUUGCACAAUUUCACCAACUUGGAAUAUUUGAAAUUGGACGAAUCCUGUCUCCAUAUAAGCCUUCUGCAAAGCAUUGCAUCAUUAUUCCCUUCGUUAAAAAAUCUGUCGAUGUCUUAUUGUGAAGUCAAUGGUGUCGUACGCGGUCAAGGUAAAAGAAAAGCGUUGAUUGUGAACUCACUCAAUGGUGUCCUACGUGUUCAACAUUUUUAUUUAUUUAUUUAUUGUUUAAUGUUUCUGCUAGGUUUUCCUCAUUUCAAGAGUUUGGAACAUUUUCACAUGCAUUUCACGCGCAUUGCACUCAACACCAACUUUCUUCAAAUCAUCGGAGAAUCAAUGCCUUCUCUUAAGUACUUAUCACUGUCAAAUUCUACUCGUGGCACUAACAGCAGCAGGAUUCUUGAUCAAGGUUAAUCAGAUGCUCCCACCCUCCCUUCUUAAUCUAUAAUAUUAAUUUUCAAUUCAAUAUUUAAUUACACAAACAAUACGCAUUCAUUAAUUUUUAUAUUGUAUUAAUUGAUGAAUUUAAUAAAUUUUCAGGCCUCUGUUCGCUGGUGCAUCUGCAAGAAUUGCGCAUGGCUGAUAAUGAUUUAAGAGGUAGCUUGCCUUGGUGCUUGGCAAAUAUGACAUCCCUCCGAAUAUUAGAUGUUUCUAUCAAUCAACUUACUGGAAGCAUCUUCUCAUCUCCCCUCGUUCAUUUGACAUCCAUUGAAGAGUUGUAUCUUUCAAACAACCACUUCCAGAUCCCAAUUUCACUUGAACCACUUUUCAAUCAUUCAAGACUCAAGAUUUUUUAUGCUGACAACAACGAACUAAAUGCAGAAAUAACUGAGUCACAUUCUUUGACCGCCCCAAACUUCCAAUUAAAUAGACUCUUGUUGUCUUCCAGUUACGGAGACAGUUUCAUAUUCCCCAAAUUUCUUUACCAUCAACAUGACCUGGAGCUUGUUGAUCUCUCACACAUAAAGAUGAAUGGAGAAUUUCCAACUUGGUUGUUGGAAAACAACACAAAAUUAGAAACUCUUUCUCUCGUCAAUGAUUCUCUUGGAGGAACUUUUCGGUUGCCAAUUCAUUCACACAAGCGGUUAGGAAUAUUGGAUAUAUCCAACAACAACUUCCGAGGCCACAUUCCAUUAGAAAUUGGGGAUAUUUUACCAAGUUUAUACGUUUUCAACAAUUCCAUGAAUGCUUUAGAUGGUAGCAUUCCCUCUUCAUUUGGUAAUAUGAAAUUCCUCCAAUUUCUGGACUUAUCCAACAAUCACUUGACUGGUGAAAUCCCCGAGCACUUGGCCGUCGGUUGCGUCAACUUGGAGUCUCUUGCAUUAUCAAAUAACAACCUACAAGGUCACAUGUUCUCUAGAAAUUUUAACUUGACAAACUUGAAAUGGUUACAAUUGGAGGGCAAUCGCUUCGUAGGUGAGAUCCCACGAAGUUUGUCUAAAUGCUCCUCAUUAGAAGGAUUGUAUCUUAACAAUAAUAGUCUUUCGGGUAAGAUUCCACGAUGGUUGGGUAAUCUCACAAGGUUACAAUAUAUUAUAAUGCCCAAUAAUCAUCUUGAAGGCCCUAUUCCAGUGGAGUUUUGUCAGCUGGAUUUGCUUCAGAUUUUGGACAUUUCAGGCAACAACAUAUCUGGAAGUCUACCAUCUUGUUUCCAUCCUCUCAAUAUCAAACAAGUUCAUCUUUCAAAAAAUAUGUUACAUGGACAGCUAAAAAGAGGUACAUUCUUUAAUUGCGCUUCCCUUGUGACAUUAGAUCUUAGCUAUAACCGCUUGAAUGGCAGCAUUCCGGAUUGGGUUGAUGGGCUUUCUCAGUUAAGUCACCUUAUCUUAGGUCACAAUAAUCUUGAAGGUGAAGUGCCAGUUCAAUUGUGCGAAUUGAACCAACUACAAUUGUUAGAUCUUUCUAAUAAUAAUCUUCACGGUCCUAUUCCUCCUUGCUUUGAUAACACCACACUUCAUGAAAGUUACAGCAAUAGUUCUAGUCCUGAUGAGCAAUUUGAAAUAUUUUUUUCCAUCGAAGGCCAUCAGGGAUUUUUAGAAAAGCAAAACCAUGAAAUUUUUGAGUUCACAACAAAGAACAUUGCGUACAUUUACCAAGGAAAAGUGCUUAGCCUCCUAUCAGGACUUGAUCUUUCUUGCAACAAGCUAAUUGGUCAUAUUCCUCCUCAAAUUGGAAAUUUGACAAGGAUUCAAACAUUGAAUCUAUCACACAACAACUUGACAGGAUUGAUCCCAUCAACAUUUUCAAACUUGAAGCAUGUCGAAAGUUUGGAUCUUUCCAACAACAAAUUGAAUGGGAAAAUCCCUCAUCAACUAGUGGAGUUAAAGACAUUGGAGGUUUUCAGUGUGGCAUACAAUAACUUAUCAGGAGAAAUUCCAGAAUGGACUGCACAAUUUGCAACCUUCAAUGAGAGUAGCUAUAAGGGAAAUACUUUUCUUUGUGGAUUGCCAUUGCCCAUUUGCAGAUCACCAGCAACUAUGUCGGAGGCAUCAAUUGGCAAUGAACGAGAUGAUAAUUUAAUUGACAUGGACAGUUUCUUUAUCACAUUUACAACAUCGUACGUAAUUGUGAUAUUCGCAAUUGUUAUUAUUUUACAUGUAAAUUCUUAUUGGCGACGUAGAUGGUUUUACUUUGUUGAAAUGUGGAUAACUUCAUCUUACUAUUUUGUUGUAGACAAUCUUAUUCCAACAAGAUUUUGUCAUUGAAAUUAAUUAGUAGCUUAAUUACGAUUCUUUAAGUACUAAUCAAGUUUGCUUAGGAAAUAUUUUUUUAUUAAAAUUGUAGUAGUAUUUAGCAUUAUAUAGCUUCCAACUUCCAAGCACUUCACAUUUGUCUCUACACUUAAAAAACUGAGUGAUCAUGUUUUGCAGAUCUGGAUUUGGAGCAGGAUGGAUCCAAACCCAUAUCUGUCCACCACAACUUAUAGCUUCCCUAUACUGUGCAGCAUACUUAAAUAAGAGAACCAUCUCCAAUGUUAAAAGCAUUCACUCUAUAACAUUCAUUUAGAAACUAUACUCAGAAUAAUUUUAUAAUUAAACACAAGAAAUGAAACACACAGAUACACUUGAUCGCCUAUUUUACUCUAAAAAAGAACGAUUAUUGUGCUAUCAUCAUCUUCUUCACUAGCAACAUUAACACCAAAUCGAUGGACCCAUACAUUUCAUCAAGAAAGGUAUAUAUCCAAUAAAGUUGAAGCCUAACAAAAAAUUCAAGAAGAUUAAUGCCUCGCCACAACAAGGGGCACAACAACAUCAAAGUAGAGAUUAAGCAGUAUUCUCAAAACUAAAACUCUCAAAUCCACCCACCAGAAUUUCAUAUCUCCUCAACAAUUUUAAGAACUAAAGAUAAUUAGGAUUUAACAUUAGUUUUUUAUAUAUUAGUUUCAUAAUUUACAAAUCAAUGAAGAUGAAGAUUAUGCUAAUAAAUUCAAAUUAUACCAUACAUUCUCUAGAUGUUACAAAAAAUUUCUAAGUCAAUCCCACAUAUUUCAUAAUUUUAAGACUAGAAAAUUUCACUAGUUAGAAGUUUCAUUACCUUCAAGUGGAAGAUAAAGAACAUUAUACAAGUGAUUCAGAUUAUAUCAUACAUACUCCAAAUGCAACUAGAAAUUAACAAGUUCAUGCGCACAUAUUUCAUAACAUUAUGAUUGAAAAGUUUCACAAAGAGAAAUUCUAAAUUCAAUAUCUUGCAUGAAGGCAGUUUGAUUGAUUUGAGUUACUUUCUUAUCAAGCUACUAAUAUAACAUUCAAGUCAGGGAGAAAAUAAAUUAAAGCAGGGAAGAAAUAACAGUAAAAAUUUGUUGCUCAACAUGAUGUGUAUUUUUUUUCAAGGCAAUUUGGAAACACAAUUGUUACUACAGAUAUUCUUCUCAACUUGGAGAUAAAUACAAAUAUUAAAAUGCAUAUGAUCGCACAUAUUACUUCGAGUUUAGUAAGAUUUCAUUAAAAGAAGCAAUCAAACCACUUAUCAAUUGUCGCAGUCGUUCUAUAAACUAAAAUAGCAAUAUAAUACAAGAAAAAGAACAUAUAGAUACUUGGCAAGAGUUCAUUAAGAAGUCGCAUCACAUUCGGGUGAGGAGUUUGCUUAUGAUAUCUUGCUAGCUGGGGCUUUUUCCUGUCUUUCUACGUAUGCCGAGGGAAACCAACCAGCUUGGCCCUUGCAUUCACCUUCCGACCAUCCAAUAGGAGCCACCUUGAGAAGUUAUAACUAAAACGGUGAAUUAAACAAAAGUUGACCGUUCAAAGACCUAAGGGGAAAACUAAUUCUUUUACGUAGGAGGAGUGAAUUAGUUGUGAUCACUGAAAUAACAGCAUAACUAUGGAAGCAUAACAAGAUAUAAAUUCACACGUCUAUAAGGGUAAACUGGGUGGUUUAGAACUGAGCUAGCAACCCUACUAUAUUCUGAUUUGCACUUCAAUGUAAAAGGGAAUAUAUGGUAGGAAGAAAGAAAACCAACCAUCAUUUGUUAACUCAUUGCUUUUCAAUCACAAUUUUAAGAAAAAAAUGCCAUGUGCUUUGAACAUCAAAUAAGUAUAAGCAUUAGUUCUAAAUUCCACAUAUCAUAAGUUGUUAGAAGGAUAAGUUAAUAGCAGAGUAGAAAAAUCUAUGUGUUGGUAUUUAGAGGGGAAAGUACCACAACAUAAUCAUCAAUUGAAAGACUUAGCUCUCCAUUUGCUUGAGCAUCAAAUGGAUGUAUAACCUGCAAGAUAAUCGGAUAAAUAGAACUUAAUCUUAAAAAAAGCAUAACAAAAGCAGCAACAGUAGCAGCAACGUUCAUUGUAACCACUAUGAUCAUGGCCAACAAAGAUAUAUUAGAAACAAAAUUCCAUUUUUACUACGACAUUAAUAUGUACUAUACGAUAUCAUGACGAUUGGGUUACUAAGAGCUAUCAAAGUCUAAUAAGUUCUGUAUAACUUUAUGUAGUUAUUUAAAUUAUGGAUCAGAUUUUAAAUUUGAAAUUUUGACUGCUCUCCACAAAACAUGGCCUAUGCACAAGAAAGUCAUAGAUAAUGAGGAUUACAAGUGUCCGACAUCUUUUGAGUGAUGGAUUUAACAUGAGAGCUUAUGGUCAGUCAAUUUCCUCUGCCUAGCAAUAUAAGCUUUCUCGGCCAGAUUUAUCAUCAAAUACAUAGAUUUCCCCCAAGUCACAUCCAUAUAAACAUAGUUUUUCUAGGUAAACCAAGUAAGGAGUAUCAUAAUUCAGACAUAAUCAUAAAAAGGCCCAUCUAACUUAAGAGAAAAUCUCAAAAAGAGGGAUGCUGAGCUAUCAGUCUUGUAUCUAUAAGCAAUAUCAAGACUUUACAUCACCUGCUACAUCGUGAGUGGCUACACAACUUUCAGUGGUUUGUCUUUCUUUGGCAUGCCUAACUCAGCUUUGAUGUUGCUGAGAUAUUGAUAGUAGAGACACUCAGACACAUGAUACUUCUAGCUCAUGCAUUCUAUCUAACUCAUCCAACAACUAUCUCUUUUUUAAUUCAUUAGUGUUUGCUAAACCUCAUGCUUAAAAGUCCUGUUCUCCUAAACAAAGUUUCCUAAGAAUGACUUCCUUAGCACCACAGUUGGACACUUUUAGAGCAAUUUUAUUUGGGGGGAAAGAAUUUUCAAGGUGUUAACCAAUAAAUUUUAAAAAAUAAUUACAAUUUGUCCUACGAUCAUAUGACAAUUUAUCUGGGAUGAAAGGAUACAGAUAGACAUCUUCCACUUUCAAGACUAAUCACUACUUCCGUAGAUGUUGUCCAAUAAUACAAAUACUUGACCAGAUGGUAGUGAUGGUAGAAAAAAAUUUUAUUGCUCCAAAAUUAAAAUAAGAAUGCAAUAUGUUAAGCAAAAUGCUGUUCAACAUCAAAUUAAUUGAUAAGUUUGUAAUUCAGUAAAUUAACAACUUUCAUGGUAAAAUACAACAAAUUUCUUUUGAAAAAAAUAAAAAAAAUAAAUCUUAAAAGACAGCAUUCAAUUUUGUGCGCAUCUUAUUUCUUAAGAUUUUUCAGGAGGAGGGCAAUAGAGGGACUUUCACCUAUGCAAGAGAGCAGAAGCCUUACUUUCGCUAUAAAGUAGACGUCAUUCUGAUUAAUAUGCGUUUGCAAAUCAGCUACGUUUGAAUCAGUAUUCUGAUAGACACACGAGGCAUUUACAUCCAUUUCCAAAGUCACAUGUUGCGAGGAGGACUCAUUUGAUUGCUCCUAUACGAUCAUCUAAUUCAAGUAGCAAGGGUUGGAAGAGAAUAAAAAGUCACAAUUAUUCUUUUGCAUAAGUGAGACGAAAAUGAUAAAUGCAAUAUUAUCAGCAGUAAACAAGAAGAGAACGCUCCAAGAAAUAGAUAGAUGCAGACAAGCAAGUUAAAAUGCAUAGUCCCAAACCUCCGCAUACAACUUCUCUAAAGUAGCAAUAACGUGUUGAUGCUAUGUUUUCUCAGCAUCUACCUGCAAAGGCCCGAGACCAGGAAAACAACAAUAAAACCACUAGCUGAAGGAGAAAGCAAAGAAAGAAAUACACUUGACAUAAAUCUUGACAAGAAGCACAAUUUAAGACAUAACAAACCCCAAUCAUAUUGUUUAGAACUACCAUUCGUUAUUUCGUUAUUGUAACAUUUCGAACAAGUGUUGACUUAAUUCAACAUUGUUGGAAAGAUAGGCUUUUAGAAGCAGAAGAAAGCCUCUCAAACCAAAGUGCUUGUCCUUGUAUUGAUCAAGGGAUGUAAACAUAUUACAUUUGCAGGAUGAGAUUUAAUCACUCCCCUGAUUUAUUUGGGUUGCAGUAAAACUAAGCGACCAACUGUUUGACUUUCAAGCAACAGCUAAAUCAGCUAUUAAAAUUCAAAUAAAAUCAUAAUAGAAUAAUAACAGGCCAUCUUGCAUAAAAUAUUAAGUUUAAUUUGUGAAUUUUUUUCUAUAGACAUGUCAGUUUCUGCUAUUGAAAUGUUAAAAGCUUUGAAAAAUUAUUCAAUAAAUUAUGCAAGCAUUAAAAUAGAGGACAUAUUAAAAAGUUUCUAAUUACAAUGUUAAUAUUUCCUAUAUUUUAGCAUUUGCAUAUUUUAAUUUAUUUAAAAGCUACGUCGAUCAACUUUGGGCAUGAAGAUUUUAGCUUCUACGAGACUUGAUUGGAAUAUGCAUAAGAGUGUUAAAAUAUGAUGCAUCCAACGAAAGACAAACCACGUGUAGUCUUUUAAUUAAUCCAAAGUAGCAGCUCAAACAAAUGACACUUGGACCAACAUGCAAUCAUGAAGUAGCCGGAAAAAGGACAAAUGCUACUUUGGCUUAAAUAAAAAAUAACAUGUGACUUGACUUUUGCUGGACAUGCAUCAUGUUAUUACAAGACAACAGAAAUCAGUAUGAUAGUAAUAAAAGUUGACAAUAACAUGAAGAUAAGAGGCAGAAUGUCAACACAUGCAUAGGCACACACAAGAAAGUAUUAACAUAUAUACCAUGGCAAAAACUCUUUUAUAUGUCAUCUGUUGCUGCUGUGAUUCAACUGACAGCAUGGCAGCUGUCGCUUUUCUACCAAGAGCCAUUAUUGUAGAUUUAAGCUCGGUCAAUCUUGCUUCUGCAUUUCGAAGCUUCACAGCACUCUCUGCUGAUAUAUCAGAUUCCCUAAUCUUUGAUCGGUGCCUAAAUACUUCAGCUGCCUGGUGAAAAUAUUCAAUAUAAAUCUAAUAUAAUUCUCAUCUUGCCUUAUACAUGCAUAUGUUACGUCAAAGCUUACCUGGGCUUCAACUUCAUGUCGAAGUUUGUCAUAACAAUGAGUCAGGUGUCGAGCAUCUUCCAAAGGUGCUCCGUUGAUUAACGCCCGUAGUGGCUCAGAUACCUACAUGUCCAAAAACCUGUAACAUAGUUAGAAAAAUGAAAAGAAAGAGCGAAACCUCAAUUAAAAAGUUCAUCCAACAUAAUCAUGGAAUUUGGGCCUACUUUAAGAAUAUAUAUAAGGAUAAUUUAUGCAAUUUUGGGUCUUAGGAUGAUUGGCAUUAGGUUAGUGUUCUUCUCUUCUGUAUUUAAGGUUAAAAUAGAAAUAAACCUAUGCAAGUAUCUAAAUUAGGCCUGUAAGACAUCCACAUGCAUCCUUCAGUCUCAUGGAUUUGAUUUUACUAUAGAUGCAAGUGUCUUUAUUGAAAAUGCUUGGAGUCAAUUGAGAGAACUCAUGGCCAAUAACUUGUCACACGCUAGUCUUUGCUAGUGAUGUAAGAAGUCACAAGGUCUCUUCAACAUUUGAACCAAUAAAAUUAUUAAGUCAUGGAUGUCACUAGCAAUGAUUUUAAUAUAAAACAUUAAGUGCCUGUUUGGUAUGGCUUAUUUAAGAGGCAUAAGUGCUUAUUUAAUCGUAUAAGCACUUUUUAAAAAUUUUUAUGGUGUUUGGUUAUUUUUUUAGUAGAGCUUUUUUAGCUUAAAUAAGCUAAUUUACCUCUACUAGCAAAAGCCCAAAAUUUGAGCUUUUGGGAGUAGAGGUUAUAGAGCUUUUCUAAAAAUAUAUAAUAUAAAAAAUAUUACAUAGUUUAAUGGUUCAAAAGUACUUUUUUUAUUGCAACCAAACACCCAAUGACUUUUUGUCUAAAAGCUCUAUUGGUAUAAGCUCUACUACUAUAAGCUCUAUUGUUAUAAGCUCUAUUUAAUAAGCUGUACCAAACGGAGCCUAAAUAUUUCAGAGUUGUAACUUUAAAAUGGAUUCUUUUAUUCAAUAUCAUAGAACUAAGUUUCCUUAUGAGAAGAUAAUAGUUUCGAUAAUAAUUUUACAUAUAAUUUUCUAUAUUUGAAUUAUUUUCUAGUUCGUGAUGAACUAACCUGAUCACGAAGAAUCCCGAGCAAAGUUUCCCUCUCAUUUUCCAUCAAAUCAUGUGAAGUGCCAAAUUGAAGAGCAGCUCUUGCAACGCAAGAAUUGUCACUUUGAUUCUAUGCUCCAUACUUGCAACAAUCUUCAGCCAACUUUCUCGCUACAAUAUUUGAAUACAAAAAUAUUGUACACAAGAACUAUAAAAAAAACUAAUGAAAAAUGCCAAGAUGGAGCAGAUGCUUCAAUACUGCCUGUACAAACCAUAAAAAACUAAUGAAAAAUAAAUAAAAUCGAGAAAUUUUACUAAUUAAAAGUCUAAAUAUAAUUUUGAAAAAAGAAAAGAAACGGACUUGCUGCUGCUUGGCGACUUGUUCUCGGAGCUUGAUUGCCUGUUUCUUGAUAGCUUCCAUACUGUUUCUUUCAAAAAGCGACGACGGCUCUGCUCAUGGAAGUGGAAAAAAAAAGUGUGAUCGAGAAAAAUGUAAAGGCGUGAAUAAUUUUGGCAAAAAGCGAAAAUCAAGGAAAGCCGGCUAUUUCCAGAAAAUAAAAAAAAAAGAAAAUCAUAAGUUUGAAAGGAGAAGAUGAUAGUGGAAGUAUGCAGUGUGGCUGCCAGGUACUUGGAUUGUAUUGUCGGGUAAGAUAAAAGUGGAGAAUUAUAAGUUUGAACAGAGCAUGUUGGACUUUUGUUGACCAAACUCAAAAGCCCAAUGGGACGGCCCAGAAGCUUUUGAAUAGAAAAACUUGCAAGAAAGCAUCAGUUUAAAUCACUACUUAAACGCUUGCUUUAACUGCACCGCUUUGUACUGUUUUAUGUAUGUAGCGGUUGUGCGGUUGUAAUUCACGGCUGACGCUACGUGUUUGUUUGUACUGUUCUAUUCGGUGACAGAGUAUUAUUAGUUAGGCCAAAACUAUGUUGCAACAGUGAUACAGUAACACUGUUGCUUUUAGUCAUUAGAUCUAUAGUUAUACAGUUGCAUUAACAAGAUUUAAUGGCUGAAAGCAACAGUGGUACCGAACUACUGUUGCAACAUAGCUGGAGCCUAUUAGUUAUUUCAAAGGGAUAAAUAAGAUUGGUUACAACAAACCUACUAAUUUUAUAAAAUUCAAGUAACAUAGAAUAAAAUAAAAAAAUAAAUACAAAAUUGACUUUUAUUUUUUAUGGUUGACUAUAUUUUGUGUUCUCUUCGGGCACUGCUACAAUUGCUACAAUUGUUCCCUAUAUAUCAAUUACACCACAUACUAUCGACACAAGAAAUGAAAUCUAAUAUCACCUAUUUAGUUAAAAAAUCACUCAUGAAAAAAUUUUACCAUUUUGAUUUGAGGAUCCAUAUUUUGAACUACAAGCUAAUGUUCAUCAAGAAUCACUGAUAGCCGUUGAGUAGAAAAAUUAUUUUUGGACAAAUUAUUUUUGUUGAUAGAAGAAUUUCUUUAGGGACUACUAAAUUAUUAAUAAAAAUGUCGAACACACCCAAAUAUCAUCGACACAAUUGAUUUUGAGGAUCCAUGGUUUGAACUGCCGGCUAAUGUUCAUCAAGAAUAGAGUAUGGCUUGUGAGUAGAAAAUUUUCUUAUUUUGGCCCGAAAUAAAAAGAAAUUAAAUUGGAUGAGAAUCUGCCACUUUCUCAUGAAGAAAGGCAUACGGAGCAUACCAUGGUACCAUAAAAUAUAAGGAGCCUCCGUUCUUUGGUUUUUCAAACUCUGAAGGGGCCAAUAUUGCCAAAUUCCCCCUUGAAAAUUCUGAUUACGAAAUUAUUCAUCGCUUGAUGCAAUCAAAGUAGUGACAAAGUAAUUGCUAGGCAAGGUUGCUGAGAGCAAAAUUGUCCUAAGCAUUAUAUGCAUACAUGGUGCGGUACAUAGAGCACGUUGAAUUCCCCACUAUAACACAAAUCUAGAAAGACAAGUAAUAACUCAACUGAUAUAAAGACAAAAAGAAGAUAAAAUGAUAUAGAAAAAAGAAUUUCAAAGAGAGAGCAACAUACGAUAGACUGAAGCCACUUGAUCUGCUCAUUGAUUGCAGCCUUAAACUUGCAAAUAGUUACUGUACGCUAGUGCUCUAAGAAGUGAAAAUGAUGCAAGCCCUGAUUCCCUUUUGACUUCCAUUUACUGUCAAACAUUCUAGUAAUACAAAAAAUUAUUUAGAUAUCUUGCUAUAAAUAUAGCCGUUUGACUGUCAUAAUAAAGUCACAAAUAACCAUUCAUAUUGAUCUACUAUCACACAGCAUGCUUUAUGCAUACAACAGCUGUAUGUAUACCAACUCCUAACCUUAUCAAUACAUUUGGCAAAAACUUAAGAAGAAAACUAUUUCUCCAUCUCUUUUUUGAAAUUUCACAAUAACCAGCACAAUGUGAAAGCUAUGUUCUAACCUUAUGAUAAAUGCUCUAGACUCCAAAAGGAUUUUAUAUAUGAGACUUUGUUGCAGCAGAUAUAUUGACUUAUCAAGUAUGAAUCAUUGUCUGGAUGAACUAUCUUUAGAUAAAAGAAUAUUAGAACCACUGUAGAAUAUCUUUACGCUGCUGGUUCUAACAGGAAUCUGCAUGUGGCAACAAUUGCUAGAUCCACAAUUCCCCAACUUGAAAUACAUAGUUGCACACCAUGAGAUAGUGCUACAAUCUACUGAGAUCUAACUUAUAUGGUACUUUAAGCUACUAAUGUUUGCAUAUUUCUACAUGUUAAAUUAACACUAUCAUCUAUAAUCACUCCAAAACAACAAAUGAUAAGCAGCUUUUGGCCACUUAUUACUAGCAUCCACAAUUAUAAAUAAGAGAUCAUGGGUUUACUUGUUGCACCUACUUAAUUAUCUGCAGUUGACAUCCUGACGCAAGGUUUAAAUAGUGACUGCUUAGAACCCUUGUAGUUGGAUCUUGACCUCUCCCAUUGUAGCCAAGAUUGGUUACUCUGGUAAUGAAUCAACACUCUCCUGCUCAGGGCCAUGAAGAUCUGAAAGCUCAGCUCUAGUGGAGAACUUCAUCAAUCUCUUCUUCUCAGCAUACUUGAGACAAGGUUGCCUUACGAGACCAAUCACCACAGCACCAACGCUUAAAACUGCAACUUUUAAAGAAGAAAGAGCCAACACAACACAACACAAAUCAAUAUGGUUGGAGGAAUACACAUGAUAAUGGCUCCAACAGUGACAGUGGGUAUCUUGUAGGGACGAGAUGCAGCAGGAUAUUGCAUCCUUAACCAUACAAAUGCUAUGAACUCCAUAAUCAUUCCAAAACAGUACAGGAAGUUCUCUGCAGCUACAAUAUCUCAAAAGCUCAGCCAUGAUAGCAAAACCACACCAGAUGCUGAGAAUAUGAUUCCAAUCAAAGGAGUCCCAUAUCAAGACCUCUUAGCAAAAAACUCAGGUAGCAUUCCACGCUCAGCCAUCCCCAAAAGUUGGAAGAGUCGCUGCUCAUCUCAGCCACAAACAUGCCCAUAUUGGACAUUGCUGCAGCCCCCUGGAUGCACCAUCUCAACCAAACUCCUCCAAGCACUUUAGCGAUAUCUGAAAAGUAACCAUCGGUCCACAAGUCGCGAUCUAAUGGAAUAGCUCCAGUUCCAACUAGAAGGGGAAAGAAAUAUCCAAAAACGACCAAGAUCAAAGCAUAAAACAAAGCCUUUGGAAGAGUCUUCUUUGGGUUAUCCACCUCUCCAGCUAGUGUACUUAUUGAGUCCCAGUAGUUGGAGAUUCCAAAACAGGGUGUUCAAAUACAAAUUCCAGUCCACUUCACCUAAAUUUACUACAAGCCAUCUUGAAGGCUCUAACUUGGGAAGGGACACAAGUCCCAUAACCGCAAAAGGAAGGAAUGAGAAAAUCCCUAAAAGAACAGCAGCCCAUCCCACAAUGGUUAGACCCCUAUAGUUCAUGAAAGUGAGAACAAAAGUCAAAGCUAACGCCGCAAAGGCUCUAGGUAACCCAUCGCCCAAAGCAGGGAUACCAGACUUCAAGUAGUCAAGAAACAGAACUGGGUAUAAAGCAUUAUCAAUAACCCCACUAAGCCAUUUCAUCCAAACUUGCUGAAAACCCCAAUAUGGGCCUAAGGCAGAUGAAACCCAAACCACAUAACCACAAUUUUCAGGAAACACGGUACCCAUCUCGGCAGUAAUUAAAGCUUCAGGGACACUCCAUAUAAUCGGAAACACCAAGAAACCAAGAAGUGCUAAAAGAGGACCAGCUGCCUUUACACUAUCCUCAACACCAAACGGCCCCCCAGAAACCUCAUAGAAUAUAAGGAAAAUAAGUGGCAAGAUUGAUACUUUUUUAGCGCCAUGGACUCUAGGAGAAGAUGGUUGGUCAUUGAUAUUAACAUAUUCAACAGCAUCAGACUGCCCCAUUUCUACUGAAAGUUGCCUAUUCACAGUGUUCCUCAAUUUCUGCAUCAAGUUUAAGCAUAACUAUCAAAAGGGUAUCGGCAUCUAAAUUAUGAAACAAAAUGAGCAUUUACUUAUUAAAAAAAAUCAAAAAAACAGAAAUGGAUUUCACAGAACACAUGAAUUUAAGUUCAACAUUAAACAGGCGCUUAAGAAAACAAAAGGGUCUGGUCGUAAAGCCAUCAGAUUGCAAGAUUGAACAACAUUAACGGAAUCAAUAGAAUCGAUGUAAAGAGAUCUGAAAAGAAAAUAAAAUAAAAGAUGAAGAGAGAUAAAACGACCCAUCAAAUAAGUGCAUGCAGAGCAGAGAGGCAGAUACUAGAGAAGCUCCGUCAUGUUAGAGAGAGCCUAAAUCAAUCAGAGCUCACUGAGUUUCUUUUCAACUGACCGGCAAAUUUGGAGUAGCAUGACAUAAUAUUUUUGCUUUUAAUUUUCGGAACACUUUUGAAUGGAAUUUUUUGUUUUUCAAAACUAACGAAAUCGUAAAAAUAAAUAAACACGUGUUUGGUUUUGGGCUUCUUCUUUUGUUCAUUUAAUAUCAUUUGGUUCCCUGAUUUUUGACUAAUUAUCAACGGUAUCCUGUUAGUUUCCAAAUUGAAAUAAUAUUAGGUCAUGAGAUUAUUUACUCCAUUUAGCACUGUAGACUUAAUAGUAUAUUGAAAAAGCUUUGUCAAAUAGUAGUAAUAGGGGCAUAAGAAAUAAGUUCUUCAGAAUUUAGAUAAUAUACUUGGCUCUAGGAAGAUUCCCCUCUUAUCGCUCAAGUUAGGCUUUUACCUUAGAGUUGAGUAAAUCAUUAAAAUAAAUUAUAGCUAUCACAAAUUCGUCAGGGGACUUUCAAUUUUUUUCCAUCAAAUGGAAAUGAGGCAAAAUUACCUCAGCUUAUAUUGCAAAACUAAUACUUCAAAUUCUGACAAUAAAUUUGAUGACAGUCGAUUUUAUGUAUAGUAAUUUUGACUCUUUUGUUUGGUCUAAAAGUAGUUAUUUAAAAUGGCAAUGAUGACUUAUUUAGAAGAAAUGAUAAACUUAUAGUUCGUAAUAUUAUUUACGCAACUAAUAAAGACUAAUUUGAUAAUAAUCUUUCAAAUAAUAAUGAAGUGUUAAUUACUAUUUAAUAUUUUUUAUUAAUUUCUAAAUUUAAAACAAAUAUGAAAGUUGAUUGCUUCGAAGGUUGGAUCGUGACAAAUUGACAAAUGAAAAGAGAAGUAGAGAAUAUAUAUUCUGAUGAAAGGGACAAGAUUAAGCAAGGGGACAAUAUUCUCUAUUGGACCGACAAAUGGGGGAAAAGAAUAUAUAUAUAUAUAAUUUCUUAUUUGUGGAUUGGCCAACACGUGUAACAAAUAUGAAAAGAUAAAAUUUGGCGUGGUUUUAACCGAUAUAAGACAAGAAGAACAAAGCAAAGCCCAUGAAAAUUCACCUUUCAUGUGGGUUGGAUCGGAUAAAAUCAAUAUCUUGAAUCAAACAAAAUGUUUGGUACAUAAAGUUUUUUUUUUUUUUUUUACAUGAUAUUCGAUUUUUAUCCCUCGAAUUUUUACAUGAUAUUAGAUUUUUAACCCUCACUAAUAAUCGAGAGAUGUCUACUCCUCAUUUUUGGGUAAGGGAGAAAACUACAUUCACUUAAUUAUAAUUGAGGAAGGAAAUACCCCCCAUUACACUUGUGGGGGUUCAAACUGUUGCCCUCCAACUUGGAGUGCAGCAGCACUGACCACUCGGCCAAAGUCUGAGUGGCUGGUACAUGAAGGUUUUGAGUGUGUGUAAUGAGCAAGAAUUUACAUAACGAUAUUUUAGUAAAUAUAAGAAAAAAAGGCUCAGGGAAUGGCCUAUAGAUAGAAGCACGCAGCCCAUGAGUGAUGAGAAUACAAUUUAACUGUUCAAACUAAUUAGAAGCAAAUUCUUUCAUAUCUUUCUUUAAUUUUUCCGCUUAGUUCCUUAGCAUCCAAUCAAGUUCAAGUUAAAACACUGUUGAGACAACAAUAUGCAGGCAUCAAUAAGCAUAGUAGUUUUUUAUAUGUAUUCUAUACGAUAUUUGAGGGAUGUCAAUUGUAGAACAUUUUGCAGCAACUUUUUUACAUUAACUAAUGUUUGAAGAACUUGUUAAAAAAAAUGGUAAUUUUAUAAUUUUGAAAAAAAAAGAGUGAAAGUGACGUUACCUCAUUGUCAUUAGAGACUUGUUGCAAUGAUAGCUCAAAAUUAAAAUUUUUGAAGAAUUAGUAGACAACGAUGACGUAAUAUUUAUACAGUCACCAACAUGUUGAUUUUUGUUUAAUGUUUGAUCGAUAGAAAUGUUUGUCGUCGUUGCUGUUGUUGAAUUCAUACUUAGAACACAGAAGAGAAGAAGGGAAGAAAGGGAAGAGAAGAAGAGAGAAGUGGCAUAUAGCAAAUAUGAUAUGCUAGCUACAUACCAGCCUUAGAGAGAUUUUUUUUAAUAUUUAUUAUAUUUUUGUUUUUGUUAUUGGUUUGUCAUAUGCUUCCAGGGAAGCAAUACGUUACAUCAUAAAUUGCACCUUUUAGGGGAGGUGGUAAAAAACGUGAGAGCACUACGCUCCAGCGCAUACAUAUAGAAAGAGUUUCCGAAUUUUAAAAAGUUUCUUUAUUUCUUCCAUGUUUUUGUGCUUAAAAUAAAAUUUAAUUGUAUUUUGCAUUAACUUAGAAAAGAAAAGCCAAUUCUAUAUAUAAACUCAUGCAUUAAUUAGAAGAGUUGAACUAUUGGCACCCCUCUAUUAUCUUUAUAAAAUUCCUCUCCUAUUGUAAUUACAUUAAAGGACAAAAUAAAUCUAAUUAUAUCAUUAUAUUUCUCUUUUCAACUCUUUACACCCGUGCAACUACACCAAAGUCUUUUACAAUUUUUGUUUCCUCACAAACAUUAUUUAAAAGGUAGAAAGAUGGUUAGUGCACAAUCAAAUUUUAAGCCGCUACCUCCUCGGCCCAAAAUUCAAACUUAGAUGAUAAGCCAAAUAAAAUUAUUUGAAAAUCAUUCAAUCAGGUUCCCGGGGCAAAAAUACAAGAUCCUUAUUUGCAUGAUAUAUAUGAAUUAAUGUAAUUUAUUUGAAUUAUCCAAAUUCAUUAGAGAUAAAACUAUAAAAUAUACCAAAAAAGUUAGAAGGAAGGAUGUGUUGGGAUAUUUUACAAACUAUAGGAAUCUGGUGAGAUUUUGAGCCAAACUGUAGGGAGUUGAAGGCAUUUGCCCAAUAUGUUUAGACGUACACUAACCGUUAUUUGCUCUUGUUGUUGGUCCCGGAUGAGCUGUAGUCUUAUUUUAAUUUUAUUUAAACUCACCAUAAGAUUCGCGGAGCUCCUAACUAACUUAAAUGACUCUGCAGAGCAUGUCAACACAUAGCAUGUUUAACCGUUUUAUUUGUAGAAGAAUUUAUGAUUUCCCAUUAGCAUUAUUAUUAAAGAAGUGGGGCGGGUCAAAUCUCAAUUGCUUGAAAAUUUUAUUUAUUAUUAUUAGUCUUGAAGUGGGGUGGGUAACGGUUCGCUCAAUUUGAUUUGAGGGAAUCAAAUAUAUCAUCCAAGGUAGAAUUGUGGAAAAUUAAAGCAAAAUAAGAAAUAUGGAAAGAAAAGAAGAAAGUUAAUGCAUGAAAGACAUAUACAGUUGAAAUUGAUAAUCAUGUUUCUAUUUUGUUAACUAAUCAAAUGGAAAGCUGAACUGUAAACAAACAUUAAAACGUGUGGACCAAGCUAGCUGCCCUACAAGUUUACAAUAAUAAUUGAGUACUUUGAUUCAUCCUUCUAUGAAUUUCUACCCAUAUUGACUCCACCGAAAUUUCCACAAAAUAAAAAAAAAAAAAAACUGAAUUUCCACAAAAUGCAAAACCCGUAGAACUUAAUUUUUGGUCAUGUGAACUAAGAUGUAAAUUAAAGAAAAAGUAUAAAAUUAAAAAAGAUAAGAUUUCUAAAAUGUGUGGAAGGUGAUUCAUGAUUCACUGAAAUUACUUACCCCAGAUAUAAAUGUAAACCUAUCUAAUUUCAUUAAAAAUAGUUGGAAAAAAUUAACUAAUAGAAAGCUACGGAAAUUAACCCCCCACAAAAAUGACUUUUUAUAGAAGAAUUUAUGUUUUUUAAAAUAUGUUAUCAAAGUGUAUUUGAUCAAAUCUCAAUUGCUUAGUAUGGUUAGGAUUUUGUGAACAUCACUAAAAAGUGAAAACUAUGAAUGAUAGGGGUGAUGCUUGCAAUAUGAAUAAAUAAUGGACUGAUUCAAUUGAUGAUUACAUUUAUAUAUUAUUGAUUAUUUAUGAAUUUUCAGAUUUUCGAGUGAUCAACUUAAAUCUAUAUGAAUUUAUUGUCAAAGAUGGUGAUCAUGAUGGGCAUGUGAAUAUGUUAGAAAAAACUUGCACUUGUCGGGAAUUCCAACUUGAACAAUUACCAUGUGUACAUGUUGUGGCGGUGUGUAGGCAUCGAGAUUUUUCAAUCUAUGAUUACUGCUCCUAUUACUAUUCAAGUGAUGCAUGGGUGUUAGCAUAUUCUGAGACUAUUUAUCCUGUUGGUCCUCAAGAGGGGUGGGAUGUUUCUAGUGAUGUAUGUGCCCGCGAAGUACAUCCUCCUCUAGAAAAGCGGUCAAGUGGGCGUCCAAAAAAUAAUAGAAUACCAUCUAGGGGUAAGGAAAAGGUGCCUCGUAAAUGCAGUCGGUGUGGUGGUCGUGGACACAAUCGACUCAAAUGCAUGACGCCAAUGCCGUUACAUGAGUGAUACCUUGUUUUAAAUUUAUAUGCAAUGUAAGUGUCUCAAUUCUUGGUAUUCAUUUAUGUUUUAUUUAUUUCGUUAAUGCUGUUUAAAUAUGUACUAAAUUUAACACUAUGUGUACAAGGCUUGACGGAGGAUUUAGCUUGUAUGUUGUCUUUAAAUGGUGGCAUCGUAGAUUUUUGGGUUAUGGCUUGAGUUCUUGGAGCAAUUAAAGGACUAUGCUAAGUCAUUGUAUAAGGAUUUUCGUAUUGAAAUUGCAUAAGGAUGAAUUUACUAGUUGCUAUUUAAUGUUUCUUGGAUAAGGAUCAAUUUACUAGUUGCUAUUUACUAGUUGAAAUUAUAUAAGGAUGAAAUAGAAUUGUAUUUAAUGUUUCCUGGAUAAUUUAAAGUUGUUGCAUAAAAAAGUCGAGUGUUUCCUGUUAUUUACCCGACUGCACUGAAAAAAGUCGAGUAUUUCCCGUUAUUUACUCAACUUCGAUGAAAAUAAUCUACAUUUACCCAACUUCGAGGAGAUGAGAAUUUUUGUUCAAUAUUUUGCAAGGUCACAUCAAAGUCGAGUAUUCUCGACCUCAUACCCGACUUGGAUGAGUCGAGAAUUUUCAUUUAAUCUGACGCAAUGUUACAUUAAAGCCGAGUAUUCUCGACCUCAUACCCGACUUUGGUGAGAGGAGAAUUUUCGUUCAAUGUUAGAGAAGAUUGCAAUAUAAGUCGAGUUUUCUCAACUGUUUACCUGACUUCAAUGUGGAGAAAUUUUAUUUAAUGUUAGGCAAUAUUACAUUAAAAGUCGAGUUUUCUCGACUGUUUAAGUCGAGUUUUCUCGACUGUUUAAGUCGAGUUUUCUCGACUGUUUACCCGACUUCGAUGAGGAGAAAUUUUGUUCAGUGUUAGGCAAGAUUACAUUAAAAGUCGAGUAUUCCUGACUAUUUUCCUAACUUUGCUUAAGGAAGUCGAGAGUUAAGUCAAUCAGAGGAGAAUUUUUUAGGCAAGCGUACAUUGAAGUAUGGGAAUCAAAAUACCAGACUUUGAUGAAAUAAUAACAAAAACCAAAAUAUUUAACUUAUUCACACAUUUACAACAAUACAAGUCAGUUCAUAAGGUUUUGAUUAACAUUAUCCCAAAAGUUAAACUACAAACUAAUACGAAGUCGAGUAUUCUUGAUUAUCCAAAACAAUGAACUUCUUGUCAUCAUCAAUCGUACUCCUCUAUCAACUUCUUGUCAGAAAACAACCUUGUUGCCACUUGUUUUCGGUAUGAGUUAAUGCCUGCUUGUGUACGAACGUCAUAUGGAAUGUCUAGACCAUAUACAAGUGCCUCCAAAUAAAACAUAACAAAAACCCCACAAUCAUUGCUGCAAGAGAAAAAUAGAAAGUGAUAGUUAUUUGAUAUUACAUAACUCAAGGGAUAAUAUAAGAGAGGCAACACUAUUUCUUACUUGUUUUUUUGUUGUGGGAUGUCUGAAACUCGCACAGCCUUCCACUUACGAGUUAGAGAAUUAUCAUAAGAAUGUGAAGUAUACCAUGAUAUCCUAUCUAGAAUCAAUGGCAUCAUAACUACAAACGGCAACAAUUCCUUCUCAAAUGCACUGUCAUUCAUAUAAUCUAACAUGGAGUCAUACACAAAAAUUAUCUCCUUUUGAAGGUCAAACUGUGCUAGUGCCCAAUGAUCUUGCUUAGGAUGAAGCGGAAUAUAUACCUACAGAAAAAACCAUGUAAACCACUAAAUGGAGAAAAAAAAUUAUAGUCAACAUGUCAAAUAAAUAUAAGCAACUUACUUUGGAAACAUCUUUCCAAUGAACAACACAUUUAAGUUUUUCACCCUUGGCAUAAUCAACGACAUAAUUAGUAGCAUUAUUUGUCCAUACUUUUUCAGGGUUGAUCACGUAAACUGAAUACAGAUGCUCUAACUUUCGCUAUCAUUACAAAAAACAAAAGUGUAAGUGUCUUAUAUAUUUUAUAUUUUCCUAUAUGUUUUAUAAAUGUAAUAACAAACUUACUUGAUAUAUAGUGUCCAUUAUGGCACAUCGUUGCAUACUACAAGAUGGGGAGUUGACCAAGAUGUGUCGUACAACAUAAAAAAAAGAGUCCAAGUGUUGUAUAUAAUAAACAAUAGUUAUUAUAUGCAUUGUUUAACAUAUUCAUUAAAGUACCUAACAAAAAUUAUUACUAAACAAUAUGUUUAUAACAAAAUUCAAAACAAUAUAUAGAUUCUUACACUACAAUCCUUAAUUUCAUAAAUUUACAGAACAAUAUGUUUAUAACAAAAUUCAAAACAAUAAUCAAUAAAAGGCAAAUCCAAUGAACACAAUCAAAUAACCUUUAAAAUUGAAUCAUAAUGUUUCAAAACUAAACACAUCAUUUCUCCAACCGCAAAGCCAAAAUUGGGAAAACUAACCCACAUGAUUCUUUAAUCAACUUUUCUUUAACCACAUUGUUGCCAAAUCUUAAUUGUUGCACUCAAACAAAAAUAAGAAUACAAAAUCCAUAGAGGAAAUAAAAUAAAUUUGAAGUUCUUCAAAUAAAAAUAUGCUGUCUAACAUUUGUUUUUGUAUGUCUCUUCGUGAUAUAUUGUAUUACAUUGUUCAUGUUAUACUUCUAAUUCUUUUCAUUUUCAGUAAUCCCAUAAAUUAUACCCAAUUCACUAAAUCACUUACCAUUUUCAAGCAAAACCCUAAAAUUUUUCUUUGAAUAUUUGUAGGAGAAAGAAGAAAAUGAAAAUUACUUACCUAGUAACCAAUGACGGAGGCAAGACAAGGUGGUGGUGACACGGCUGAGGCAAUGGUGAUAGCUGAAGUGCAGAAUGGGCAGGGAGCCGCUUGUUCUUCAAGGAGUUUUCUCUCUUAUUUUGUUUACUCGACUUUGUGAUUUUGGGUGGGAAUCGAUUCUGUUUUGUUGGCUUUUAUUAAGGUUAUUUUUGUAUUUUCCAUGAUCUUUUUAAGUAUAUAUGUGUAAAGUUAGUAAUUUUAAUAUAUAGAGGUAUAUUUUAGGUAUUUUGAGGAAACCAGGUAUAUCCCACGCAAUUCGGGGUUUUUUUAUUUAAAUAUCCUCAAUUUACCCUUAAAUGCCAAAUUUAUACCCUAUUACAUACAUAUACCUUAUGAAGAUAGGAAAAGUCAAAAAUAACCUUAAAAAAACUAAGAAUUCACAUCUCUCUUCUCCCAUUGCUUCUCUUUUUCGGGCUUCUCUCACCAUUCUCUAUUUUUCUUAUAAGUGUAUUUCCUAAUGAUUUAUGAAUUUUAGUAGUACAUUAUUCAUUUUUUGUGCUUGCACACACACACACUAUUUCAAUGUAGGGAUUUAAGACUACAUUUAAGUUACGAGUGAUUGAAGAAUCAGUGCAGGAAGAAGUCGGGUACGAAGUCAGGUAAAUCGAGAAUUUAGUCGAGUAAGAAUUAGAGAUAAGUAAGUCGAGUAUAUGGUCGGGUAAGAAGUCGAGUAAGCAUAUUAAAUAAGUCGAGUAUAUGGUCGGGUAAGAAGUCGAGUAAGAAAAUUAAAUGAGUCGAGUAAGCAUAUUAAAGAAGUCGAGUAUAUGGUCGGGUAAGAAGUCGAGUAAGAAUAUUAAAUGAGUCGAGUAAGCAUAUUAAAUAAGUCGAGUAUAUGGUCGAGUAAGAAGUCGAGUAAGAAUAUUAAAUGAGUCGAGUAAGCAUAUUAAAUAAGUUGAGUAUAUGGUCGGGUUCAAGAAGUUGAGUAAGAAUAUUAAAUAAGUCGAGUAAGCAUAUUAAAUAAGUCGAGUAAGCAUAUUAACUAAGUCGAGUAUAUGGUCCGGUAAGAAGUCGAGUACGAAUAUUAAAUGAGUCGAGUAAGCAUAUUAAAUAAGUAGAAUAUAUGAUCGGGUAAGAAGUCGAGUAAAAAUAUUAAAUGAGUCGAGUAAGCAUAUUAAAUAAGUCGAGUAUAUGGUCGGGUAAGAAGUCGAGUAAGAAUAUUAAAUGAGUCGAGUAAGCAUAUUAAAUAAACCGAGUAUAUGGUCGGGUAAAAAGUCGAGUAAGAAUAUUAAAUAAGUCGAGUAAGCAUAUUAACUAAGUCGAGUAUAUGGUCCGGUAAGAAGUCGGGUAAGAAUAUUAAAUGAGUCGAGUAAGUAUAUUAAAUAAGUCGAGUAUUUUUAUUAAGGUUAUUUUUGUAUUUUCUCUGAUCUUUUUAAGUAUAUAUGUGUAAAGUUAGCAAUUUUAAUAUAUGGAGGUAUAUUUUGGGUAUUUUGAGGGAAAACAGGUAUAUCCCACGCAAUUCGCUCCGCAAUUCGCUCCCAUCUCAUCAUCUUCUUCAGUUGUACUAACAUUAAAUUCUUCUUAUUCCCUUUCUCAACUGUCAUACCCUAUCCCUAUUCCCUGUGUCCCCACUAAACCACGCUCAAUUCAGUCCAUCAGAUUCUCUCGGAACCACAUUAAUCCAACGGCUCACAAUGACCGACAGCCUCUGCAUCUCCAUUUCAAGCUCCCUCUUCAACUGGCCUCUGCUUCCGUUGUACUCUUUCUCGGAUUCUCGGUGGUCCCACACAGCUCCAUCUCGCUCCAAUUGUCACCCAACAAGACCAAUUGCUUAAUCAAGUCACAGAACAAAAAGAGGAUGAGAAAUUGGAACAAGAAUUUGAGAAUUGGAAAUCGAAAAUGUACAAAUUGACCGUGCCUUUGAGAGUUGUUUCUCUUCAGAAUUCAAUACCUCAAUCUUGGAUUAAGGAUUUUAUGCGAAGUCAAGGAAAGAUAUUGAAUUUUCAGAUGAAUUUGUGUGCUAGCAUUGAUGGGAUCUCAACAAUUUAUCUGUGCCUUUUAACAAAGUUAAGGCUAAAUCAGCUCUUAUAUGGGUGCUGAUUUGGUUAGUGUUGGUGAUUCAUGUCUCAGUUUUGCGAUUAAAAAGAGAUUGAUUGAACCAAUAGUUGGAGCUGAAGAUGAAGAUUGGUUCAAAUGCUUAAGUCACAAAUGGAAGGUAACAUCUUUAUCAUUGUCCAGAUAUUUUUUAAUCAUUGUCCCGAUAUGUUUUAUUGUCUUACAUUGAAGUUUGGUAAUGUAAUUUGUUCUCUAUCUGUGUUCCCUUUGUAGUCAUUUUAUUUAUUUUUUUGUUUGCAUUUAUUUGCACUUACGAAGUCUCAGGUAUAUCUAUGCAGGAAUGAUGCAGAAGAAAUUGAUCCUUGAGGUAAAAUAUGCGCAGCACCAUAUCAGUGGGGCACAGUGGUGAUAGCUUACAAGAAAAGUAAAUUUUGAAAGCAUAAUUUGGCUCCGAUUGAGGUAAUAAUUGUCUUUAAACUCAUUUAGUUUUAUAUCAAACAAAAUCAAGACUGCCCUUCUCUUCAAUAUUUUUUAUGAUAAUAUCUUUAGAAGCAGCUAAUUGACGGGUAAUCAAGGUAUUCCUUAAAGGGUCUACAAACUCAAUGAUAUUAUCUUCUGCAAAUGGUUCAUUAGACCUCUUAGUUGUAGUCAAAUGUCCACUAAGGACAGCAAGAAGCUAUGCCACUGUAGCAUGGUAAUGAUGGCCCUCAAUAAGUGAGUUGGUAGGAUGUGAAGCAGAAAAAUUAAUUAAUGUCUCCCUGGCUAUGCCAGCUCAUAAGUUAGGGUUAAUAUUAGAGCUUGAGUAACUAUAACCUUGAGAAGCUAUUGACUGCAAAUUAAAAUAUCCAUUAAAAUGUUUAGGGAGUUAUGAAGGUGGAAGUAUCUUCCAAUUUCUAAGGCCAUAUUGUAGACAUCAUCCAGGAUCCUAUUAAAGUGCAGUUAGCCUCCUGCUUGAUGCUAAUGUCAAACAAUUAAUAAAUUUGGUCAAUGUAACUGAAACUUGCUAACUGACAUCAGAUUGCAACUUAAAAUGGGAUAGAUGAUUAGUAGCACUGAAUUCUUCUUGCCUAAGAUUGAGCAAUUGUUCUAACUACUAUCUCCUAUUGUAGGUUGAUUAUUAUGUUCUAAUUAGGUCCAUUUUGACCCAAAAAAUUACAUAAUCUUGAUCUGCAUAUUGUCACUGAACAGUGUCAAUAUCGUUCACCAACUAACUUGAGUUUGAUAUAACAAACACACGGUGUGUCUCUCAUGUCUCACCAUGAUGGAGAAUUUUUCUAAUGCAUGAAGUAAGCUUCGAUAUGUGGGUUAGCUUGGAGAAGAUAUCUCAAAAUGAAGAAUAUGGGGAGUUAAUGGGAAGAAACAGUUCAUUAGUUGAUAAUUCUGUCAUCGAGCUGUAUCUCUAACAUGGUCAAAUUUUAUGUGAAUAAGGACAGGGAAUCUUCAUUCCUCUUUUCCUUUCUAUACCCAGAUAUCUCUCAACCUUUAUAUGUUGCCCACUGGAGAUCUGCUUCUAAUAACUAAAAUAAAAAUUUCAUCCACUCAAUAAAUGCUGACCAACCUUUCACAAGAAAAAGUAACAUCUUUAGUGAAGUAAUUUACAGUUCCUUAUCAUCUUCGUGUGAGUCUAUCAGUAUGAUCCAAAAACAUAAUACAUCUUGUUAGAUCUUGUUUAUUGAUGUUUAAAUGUUGUUCAUUGUGAAAUGUAGAAAUGAUGACGUGAAGUUUCUUUGGUCAUCAGUUAGUGAGAUCUUGUCUGAAGUUGUUUUCUGAAAUGAACUGCCAAAUGGUAGUUUUUUUUUUUGGGUGCAUUUGAUGGCUCUUUUCUCCUCAUUUUAAGUGGGUGCCUGCUUGGAAUGGGAAGGAAUAGGCUUCAGAGUUGUUAUAUAUGUUGACAUGCUCUAGUCUUUACACAAUAUGUUCAAAUUGGAAAUUAGAAUGAGAUAUUUGUCGAUGCUUUUUGAGAGAUCUGCAUUCUAAGCACCAUAACAUGAUUAAUGAAAACGGGUUUAAAGACUGGAAAGAUCUGUGGCGGCCCGAGCUUGCAGGAAGGAUUUCAAUGGUUAAUUCUCUCAGAGAGGUUAUUGGUACAGUUUUGAAGUAUAUGGGAGCAUCAUACAAUUGAAACGACAUUGAUUAGCAAGUUGCUGCUGGGAGGAUUGCUGUUCAGCAGAAUCUGGCAUUACUGGGAAACCAGGUACUCUUAACGAAACGAUAUCUGGUCAAUGCAUAUUAUUGCCUGACAGCUGAUUUUGUUUGUAAAGUCUGCCUUUUCAUACAUAUGAAUGCAUAUGUUAGUGUUUUACGAAUGCAUAUGUUGGUUUUAUUUUCUGAGAUGGAUGCAAAUAAAGGCUUUUUCUUCUAAAUUUAGCUGAAGAAAUGGCAAGGAAUGUGAGAUUAUAUCUCAUUAAAUUAUCAAAACCCAAAACAAUGAAAACUCAUAUUAAUGUGAUGUGGAUAAAUUGGCAACAUUUGGCUUGUUUCCUCCACGCGAAUUAGCAAGCAAUAGAGACUAAAAAAAUGGAGUGAUAAUAACAAGUCAUUGUCGUUUGAUGAAUGCAUUUUUAAGCAAAAAUAGGAUUGUAACUGAACAAAUUUUUCUGGCAUGCCAAUUUCAAAAAAUUAAAUUAUGUGGUUAUUAGUAAUGAAGGGGAAUUGUAGGUGCAAUCAGGUCAAUCCAGUAAAGUUCAACAAAGUUCUGGUUUGGUGUAGUGAAAUUGGUUUAUGCAACUUGAGUCUUUCAGAUGAACAAUGAUGAGUUUUCAUUUAAAAAUGUUAUAAAUCUGCUGUGCAUAGUAUUCUAGUGGAAUCAUCUAUAAAUUCAAGUUAUUGAAAUUGUCUAUUUUGUCUGGUCUGAGUUAAGGAGGCAUGUAAUUUAUGAAAAAUAGUUGUCGAAUAUUGUAGGUUACCUAACAUUUGAUCAAUCCUGUGGUGAGGGCUUUAAGAUGUCUAACAGCAUGUAGAAUGCCCCUGCUCCCCUCACAUUGUUUAUCUUAUACAAUAAUCCAUUAUAGAUGCUAAUAUCUUUGUCAAUACCUAAAACAGUAUUACAAAAUCUGAGUUUAUUGGGUUUUAUAUAGGUUCAACUGUUUGACAGUACACACUAUCUGAAGGCAUUUGGAAUUGGAGAUGUCUGGGUUGCUGUUGGGUGGAGUAGCGAUGUUCUUCCUGCUGUCAAACGUAUGUCUAAUGUUGCAGUUGUUGUUCCCAAGUCAGGUGCUAGCUUAUGGGCUGAUCUUUGGGUAUGCCCAUGCUUACCAUUCUACUUUGAUAUUCACUUUGUUAUCUCCAUCAUAGUAAUGAUCAGUAAAUACGAGAAUGUGUGACUGAUAAGUUUGUAUUCUCUUUUUAGGCAAUCCCUGCUGCGUCAAGACUUGAAACAAACCAAAUUGGAGGGUGAGUCAGAGGUCCAUCUCCAUUAAUCCAUCAAUGGAUAGUGUUCUGCUUGCAAACAGCAAGAGCAUUGCCUUUCAAACAAGAGGUUAUCCCUGGCGUACUGAGAUGGCUAAAGUUCUUGAAGUUUUGUUAGAAAUGAAAGAUGAGUGGUUGUUUGAAUAAAGUUGUGGCCAAUCUCGCAAAGGUUAAAAAGGAACAUCACGGAGCUAAUGCCACCGAUUUCUUCAUCAUUGUAGCCUCUAUAGUUGAAGUUUCCUCAUUUGAAGCUCUUUAUGCAUUAUCCCUGCUCAAGUACAAUUGAAGAACUAACCAGAUGUGAUAUGCUGAAAGAGGGAAGUUUUCUUCCUUGAAUGUGGCCUUGUGAUUUGUCAGGGAAUAGGAUGAUCACUAGCAAGAACCCUGUCAAGGUAGAUUUUAUGAUAUUAACAUAUUAUUAAGCAUUUGCCACUUUAGCAACGAUACAUUCAUAGCGUGAAAGUGUUCAAAUUUAACCUAAUGAUCCUGAUUAAUCAAUUAAUUUUCAUGAGUUGUAACCGGAGUUAAAGCUAAGUACAAUCAUCGUUAACAAAGACUGAAAUUUUGGGUAAAUAUGAUCUUAUAUUGAAUCAUUUGAUGACACAACUCACAUUGGAAAUUACUUAUUGCGUGGGGAUGGCGAUGUUUACUGUUGUAUUGCGAUAUAAAAUAUGUGCAAGGUAUUGUCGACUGCUUUUUGGGUUAUGGUGUGAUAGCUGCUGAUUAGUGAUAAAACAAGAAAAAUUAAUUAAACUCAGGCCUACAUGCUAAAUGUGUAUGUUAUCCUAACUUUCACUACAAGAAAAUGUCCUUAACCUGACCGUGUUAGAUGAUUGUAAGUAGCAGUGUUCGUACAAGUUUUUUUUCCUUCAUGGUAUUUACAAUUUCUUAGGAACAUCUAAAAUCUGAAAAUCCUCAUUUACUAAAAAUUAAGUUAUCAUUUACUGGCUGGCAACUUAAAGAUAAGAAUAAAUUCAAGAGCUCAUCAACCAAGUAGAGUUUUCUCAAUAGACGCCGUAGUUAAUUUCUCUCUUCAAUCUUGAUUAUGAAUGAUUGUUUUGUUGCUUUUUAAAGCGCUUUUAAAGUUUUAUUUUGCUCAUGUCUGAUAUUUAAUUACCUGAAGAAGCCUGAUGAUUUCUUGAUAUGAUUGCUCUGCCAAGCUAUCUAAGAAAUAGCUAUAGAAAUCCCUUCAUUACAUUAGAUAAUCUUCAUUAUCUGUGCAAUUUGGUGUUUUGUCUUUGAAGCCAGCCGUUUGCUUUUGAUAGAUUCCAUCUCGUAUUUAUUCCUUUUCUAUAGAUUUUGCAGGAUUGAAGCUAUAUUUCUUCUCUGUAUAUGUGAUUGAUAUUAAGAGUAUGUUUUUGUGUUGUCUCUGUUUUUUCUAUUUGAUCUAGAUUUAAUACCUGAAAGGUUACUAACAAAUUAUCUUAGGUCAAAUUCUCUUUUACGAGACUUUUUUUGCUAAAUUCUUGGAAUUAUAUAAUUAACUAAAUCUUUAGUACAAGGAGGAGUUUGCCCCUAACUUUGCUUUCUUUCUAUAAUCGCAUUAAUAAUCAAUCCCCUGCAUGUUGGUCGCAUUAAUAACCAAAUGUGCCUUUGACAUGCAACUAUACAAUCACAAACCAUCAUAGGCCAAGAUUGGUUCAAAUGCUUAAGUCACAAAUGGAAGGUAACAUCUUUGUCUUUGACCCGAUAAUUUUUAUUGUCUUACAUUGAAAUUUGGUAAUGUAAUUUGUUCUCUAUCUGUAUUACCCUUUGUAGUCGUUUUAUUUAUUUGUUUAUUUAUUUGCUUUUAUUUGCACUAACGAAGUCUCAGGUAUAUCUACGCUGGAAUGAUGCAGGAGAAAUUGAUCCUCGAGGUGCAAUAUGGGCGGCACCAUACAGGUGGGGCACAAUGGUGAUAGCCUACAAGAGAAGUAAAUUUCAAAAGCAUAAUUUGGCUCCGAUUGAGGUAAUAAUUGUCUUUAAACUCAUUUAGUUUUAGUCAAAUGUACACUAAGAACAAUUAGAAGCUAUGCCACUGUAGCAUGUAGUGAUGGCCCUUAAUAAGUGAGUUGCUAGGAUGUGAACUAGAAAAAUUAAAUAUUGUUUCCUUGGGUAUACUAGCUCGUAAGUCAGGGUAAAUAUUAGAACGUAAGAUACUAUAACCAUGGGAAGCUAUUGACAGCCAAUUAAAAUAUCCUUUAAAAUGUCUAGGAAGUUAUGAAGGUGGAGGUAUCGUCCGAUUUCUAAGGCCACAUGGUAGACAUCAUCUAGGAUCCUAGGAAAAUGCAGUUAAACUCCUGCUCAAUGCAAUUAAUAAAUUUGGUCAUUGCCACUGAAACCUGCUAACUAACGUUACAAUGCGACAUGAGCACUUCAAAAUGGGACAGACGGUCAGUAGCACUAAAUUUUUCUUGCCUAAGAUUGAGCAAUUGGCUAACUACUAACCCCUAUUGUAGAUUGAUCAUUAUUUUUUCAAUUUUGUUCAGUUUGACCCAAAAAGUUACAGAAUCUUGAUCUGAAUAUUGUCACUGAACACUGUCAAUGUCGUUUAGCAUAGCCAACUAACUUGAGUUUGGUAAAACAAACACACAGUGUGUCUCAUGUCUCACAAUUCAAAUUAUCAUCUGUAAUGAUGGGGAAUUUUUCCAAUGUAUAAAGUAUGCUUUGAUACGUGGGUUAACUUGGAGAAGAUAUCUCAAAAUAACGAAUAUGGGGAGAAAACAGUUCAGUAGUUUAUUAUUCUGUAGUCAAGUUUUGUCUCAAAAAUGGUCAAAAUUUAAAUGAAUAAGGACAGGGGAUCUUCAUUCUUUUUUCUCUUUUUAUACCAAGAUAUCUCUCAACCUUUAUAUAAUCCCCACUGGAUAUCUGCUUUUAAUAAUUAAAAUAAAAAUUUCACCCCCACAAAUAAAUACUGACCAAGCUCUAACAAUAAAAAGUAACGUCUUUAGUCAAGUAAUUUACAGUUCCUCAUCAUCUUAGUGUGAGACUAUCAGUACGUUCCAAAAACAUAAUAAAACUGGUUUGAUCCUGUUUAUUGAUUUUUAAAUGUUGUUCAUUGUGACAUGUAGAAAUGAUGAGGCGAAGUUUAUUUGGUCAUCAAUUAGUAAGAUCUUGCUUGAAGCUGUUUUACGAAAUGAACUUGCCAAGUGGUAGUUUUUUGGGGGCAUUUGAUGGCUCUUUUUUCCUCAUUUUAAACAUGUGCCUCCGUGGAACGGGAAGGAUUAGGCUGCAGAGUUGUUAGAUAUUUUGACAUGCUCUGGUCAUUGCACAAUUUGUUCACACUGGAAAUUAGAAUGAGAAAUUUGUUGAUGCUGUUCUGAGAGAUCUGCAUUCUAUGCACAAAAACAUGACUAAUGAAAAUGGAUUGUAGGACUGGAAAGAUCUGUGGCAGCUUGAGCUCGCAGGAAGAAUUUCAAUGGUUAAUUCUCCCCGAGAGGUUAUUGGUUUGGUUUUGAAGUAUAUGGGAGCAUCAUACAAUUCAAAUGAUAUUGAUUCGCAAGUUGCUGGUGGGAAGAUUGCUGUUCAGCAGAAUCUGGCAUUACUGGCAAGCCAGGUACUCUUAAAGAAGUGCUAUCUGGUCAUUGCAUGUUAUUGCCUGACAACUGAUUUUGUUUGUAAAAGUCUGCUUCUUCAUACAUAUGGAUGCAUAUGUUAGUGUUUUCUUCUCCUUUUCAUACAUAUGAAUGCAUAUGUUAGUGUUGUCUUUUCCUUUUCAUACAUAUUAAUACAUAUGUUGGUGUUCUCUCCUGAGAUGGACGCAAUAAAGGCUUUUGCUCCUAAAUUUAGGUGAAGAAAUGGUAAGGGAUGUGAGAUUCUGUCUCAUUAAAUUAACAAAACCCCAAAACAAUGAAAACCCAUAAUAAUGUGGUGUGGGUAAAUUGGCGCCAUUUGGUUCGUUUCCUUAAUGUGAAUACACGAGCAAUAGAGACUAACAAAUUGAAGUGACAAGAACAAGUCACUGUCCUUUGAUGGAUGCAGUUUUAGGCAGAAAUAGGUUUGUAAUUGACCAAAUUUGCCUGGCAUGCCAAUAUCAAAAAAAUUAAAUUAUGUGGUUAUUAGCUGUAAUGAAGGGGGAUAGUAGGUGCAAUCAGGUGGAUCCAGGAAAGUUCAACAAAGUUCUGGAAUUGCGUAGUGAAAUUGGUUUGUGCAACUCAAGAGUCUUUCAGGUGAACAAUGAUGGGUUUUGAUUUAUAAAUGUUAUAAAUCUACUGUGCAUAGUAUUCUAGUAGAAUCAUCUAUAAGUUCUAGUUAUUGAAGUUGUCUACUUUGUCCAGUUUGGUCAAUUACCUAACAUUUGAUCAAUCCUAUUAUGAGGGCUUCAAGAUGUCUAACAAUAUGUGGGAUGCCCAUGCUCCUCCCCAUUGUUUAUCUUAUACAAUAAUUUGUUUUCGAUGCUAGUAUCUCUUUCGAUACCGGUAACAAUAUUACAAUAUCUGUGUUUAUUGGGUUUUACAUAGGUUCGAAUGUUUGACAGUACACACUAUCUGAAGGCAUUUGGAAUUGGAGAUGUAUGGGUUGCUGUUGGGUGGAGUAGUGAUGUUCUUGCUGCUGUCAAACGAAUGUCUAAUGUUGCAGUUGUUGUUCCCAAGACUGGUGCUAGCUUAUGGGCCGAUCUUUGGGUAUACCCAUGCCUGCCAUUCUACUUCGAUAUUCACAUUGUUAUCUCCUUCAUAUUAGCGAUCAGUAAACACAAUAAUGUGAGAAAUAAGUUUGUAUUCUCUUUAUAGGCAAUCCCUGCUGCCUCAAGACUUGAAACAAAACAAAUUGGAGGGCGAGUCAGAGGUCCAUCUCCAUUAAUCCAUCAAUGGAUAGAGUUCUGCUUGCAAAUAGCGAGAGCAUUGCCUUUCAAGCAAGAGGUUAUCCCAGGCGCAUCUCCCUCUGCUCUUGAAAGUACUCUGGUUAAGUUGCCUGAAGAACUUCUGAAGGGUAAACCAAGUCUGGAUACUAACUUAAUUUCUGGAGUACCCCGGGCUGAAAUUCUGGCCAGAUGUGAGUUUUUGGAGCCAUUAUCUGAAGCUACUUUGUCAGAUUAUGAGUGGCUGGUUGGUAAUCUGCAAAAAACCUGCUCCUGUCUUGGUGAAAAGGGGGCAAAAUUACUUGUCAUCAUUAAUCCAAAGCUUUCUAGCAAAAGCUGCAUUGAAACGUUAAUGGCACUGCAUGCCAGUCAUUAUAAUGCAGUCAGGGCAAUUGGGUCAGGGCAAUUAGGUCAGGGCAUAACUUCAUCAGGAAAAGAGGCUUCAGCUACGUUAAAUAUUACAGUAUGUACUAAGAUGGCUGAAGUUCUUGAGGUUUUAGGAGAAACGAAAGAUGAGUCUUUGUUUGAACAAAGUUGUUGCCAAUCUUUCAGAGUUCGAGAAGAAAGAUCACGGAGCGAUGCCGCUGAUUUCUUCAUCAUUGUAGCCUCCAUAGUUGAAGUUUCCUCAUUUGAAGCUGUUUAUGCAUAUGCUUUUUCCCUGCUCAAGUACAGGAAAUUGGAGAAUUAACCAGCUGUGAUAUGCUGAAAAAGGGAAGUUUUCUUACGUGAAUGUGGCCUUGUGAUUUGUCUUGAAGGAAUAGGAUGAUCACUGGCAAGAACCCUAUGAAGGUAGAUUUUAUGAUGUUAACAUAUUAGUAAGCAUUUUGUUACAUCAGCGAUGAUGCUUUCAUUGCAUGAAAGUGUCUAAAUUUAACUGAAUGAUCUUGAUUAAUCAAUUAUGAGUUUUAAUCGAGUAAAAACUAAAUUCAAUCAUCGUUAACAAAUACUGAAAUUGGGUAAAUAUGAUCUUGAUAUUGAGGAAUUUGAAAUCACAACCCGCACAGGAAAUCACCCUUCGCGGGGGGAUGGAGAUGUUUACUGCAGCGAUAAUGAAUAUGUGCAAGGUGUUGUCCACUGCUCUUUGGGUUAUGGUGUGACUUGCGAUUUCAAGGUUGCCCUGAAACAAUGGAAAAUAUUAACAUAUCCUCCAAUGAAUAAAAACGGCUGGACUAAUUCAAAUUACUCAGCAUCAGGUGGCAAUAAUAACAGUCCAUUUACUUUUCCAGGAUCAGAUGUUGAUAAUAAUAGUUUAUUAAAUGACAAAUCAUUGUUCUUGGGGGUUAGUUGUAUACGUCCUUACUACUUCAAGGAGAAGAAAAAGGUUGUGCAGGUGAUUUCAGAAAUAAAAUACAUUCUGAGAGAUGAUGGUCCACUACUGCAUGCCCCCCAGAUUUAAGAAUCAUCACUUUUCCUUUAAAAAACUGCUACGCUUUGAUUUUAGUGCUGAAUAUUUAUUGAACUCUGAUAGAAGGAGUUUGAAGUCAAACUCGUAAUUACAGGUUAUCUAAUUGCUGAGUUGUUGUCCAUAGCUGCUGAUUUGUAGUGAUUAUCUAAUUGACUGAGGUAACAACAAUUUUUUUUUUUUAAUUUUCAAUAGCACAAUGUCGAAUUCAAUAAUUAAAUUCUCCUAUUUAAUUUGUUUCAAGUUAAAUUAUUAAUUACUUAAACUAUGUUUUAAGUCUUUAAUUUUAUGUCUUGGCGUAUAUGCAGAAUUGGAUUCUUGAGCGUGUUGGACACGACCAACAAUGAAAUUGACAGUAAACAAACAUUACAACGUGUGGACUCCGGUAGCUGCCCUACAAGUCUACAACUUCACAAAUAAUAAUUGAGUAAGCACCUUUGAUUCUCGUAACCCUUCAAUGAAUUUCUAGCCCCAUUGACUCCACUAACAAAAGUUUUGUAAAAUAAAAAAAAUACAUAAAAUUCCACCAAAUACAAAACGCGUGGAAUUUAAUUUUCGGCCGUGUGGACCAAAACAUAAUUUAACGAAAAAAGAAAAAAAUGAUAAGAUUUCUAAAAUGUGUGGAAGGUGAUUCAUAUUUUACUGAAACGACUUGUUAAAUUUUUCAAGGAUUUAGAAUAUUUGGUCGUAAAUUAGGUGCAUGUUAAUUUUUCCGCCAUUGACUAUCAUAUUCUAAACUUAAUGGUACCUUUCUUGAUGAAGGGUACUUAGUCUCCCUUCUCCUCUUAUAAAAAUUAUAUUAAUUGAUUUCUUAUUAUAGUUAAUAGUCUUUAAGAACGGAUAGCUUUAUUGUUUUCAUAACCAAAUUAUGCCUGCCUAAGAUUGCGACUAUUAAUAAAAUUAAUAUUCAAUGUUUAUGUUAAAAGAUAUAAGAUUAAUUUAUGCGUUCAUUAAUUGUUAUUAGCUAAAGGAUGAAUUAUUUUUUCAACCCAAUCAGUUGAUGCAUCUGCAAGAGUUUUUUCUUUUAGUGACCAUAAUUAUAUUCCGGGUACAAUAAAUUGUCUUUGGUGCUUGGAAAAUAUGACUUCUUACUUCAAGUUUUUGAUAUGUCUCUCUCCAUAAACUUACUGGAAAUAUAUCCUCAUCUACUGUCAUUUAUCUAAUAUCAAUUGAAAAUCUCACUUUUCCAAACUAUCACUUCCAAGUCUAAUUGUCACUUGCCAUUCUUGGACCAUUCAAAACCAAUCAAGUGUUGAAAUAAUCAAAUAUAUGCAAAAUUAGAGUCACGAUUUUUGGUCCCCCAAAUUCUAAUUAUAUAACUUCUAUGUAUCUCAUUGUCAGGUCACGAACUUGUUGGCACAUUUUCCAAAUUCCUCUUCCAUCAGCUCUCACAUGUUAACUUGAGUGUAAAGUUUCCAAGUUGAUUGCUAGAAAGCAACGCAAAAUCAGACACACUUGACCCGUCCCAUAAUUAUCUUUUCUACGUUGAAAAAGAAAAAAAAAAAGAAAAAAGAAAAUAUAUCUAUGUAAAAAUAAAUAAUAAAUUGAGUAAAAGCACAUUUGUUUAAUUAACAUCUGAUCGGGGCAUUUUUGGUGUAAUUUAGUGCUGUGUAACCCACAACUAAAAUCAAACAGCCCCUUAGCAUACUUCUUCCAUUUUAUCUGCUACUUUUGUGGAUCUGAUAGGGUGGGCAUGUGGACAGAAUUUAAAAGUUUUAAUAGUCUCAAAGAAUAAGAUAUGUUAAAGCUAAAGUUGUUGCACCUUCUUAUUAAAUAAAGUUGCACAAUUUCACCAACUUGGAAGAAUUGACAUCAAUGGACUGGUCCCUCUCCAUAUAUGAAGCCUUCUUAAAAGUAAUUUUUAUUUCAGAAAAAAAAGUUUAAGUUACAUAUAUUACAGUAAGAUUUUUUGAGACCAAAUCCCUUCAAAUAAUAAUGGAAAAGUAUUAAUUUAAAAACAAAAUGAAUAUGUAUUGAUUAUAUCCGGAUUUUCAUAGAUUAUAGUGAGAGUUUCUCCAAAUCAAUUCCCUUAUUCAAAUAAUACAGAAAAAAUAGUAAUUUAAUAGUAAAAUAAACAGGUGUUGAUUGUAUAUCCUUAGUUUCAUCGAUUAUGUGAUCAAAGUGGCAUUGAUGAUUUAUUUCUUGUUCAAUGUUAAUUUUUAGGUUAUCUAAAUUUUAAGGAUUUAAAAUCUUUGGUCAUGGAUUGCAUGCUUGUCAAUUUUUCUGUCAUUGACUGUCAUAUUCUAGACUUAAUGGUACCUUUCUUGAUCAAGGGUAAUUAUUCUCUCUCCUCCUCUUAUAAAUUCCUCUUCCAUUAACAUCACUAGGAGUUUGUUGAUCUCUAAGACGUUAACUUGAGUGGAGAGUUUCCAAAUUGAUCGUUACAAAACAGUACAAAAACUAGACACACUUGAUCUGUCUAAUAAUUCUCUUUUGGUAAAAUUAAUUAAUUUUAGGAGAAUAUUCGGCCAACCUCUAUAAUUUCAGAUUGAUCACUAAUUAAUUAAACGAUACAAAUUGCUAAAGUGAUUAGAUGUUUGCUGACAAUACAAGUUCAUGGUUUGAAAUUUGAUCUCUAUCGAUUGGUUUACAAUGGACGUACUUGUGCCUUUGUGGCGAUAAUUGAACCAGAGAUGUGAAGCUGUAAAGAUUUGGCAGUAGUAAAUUGUUAUAAAGACAUAAUGACAAGUUCCCAUGAUUAUUAUUUUUUCCAAAAACUUUUUUACAACAAAUUCAUCUCGCCCAAAAAUUCUAUUUUUCUAACCAACAAUAAUUGAGUACUUGGCCGUAUUGACUCCACGUCUCCACCUGCUUUCUAAGUAAAAACAUGGAAAUGUACUUUCCACAAAAUGCCAAAUGUGUGGAAUUUAAUUUUUGGUCUUGUGGACCAAAAUACAAAUGAAAGAAAGAAGAAAAAAAAGGCCCAAAGACUUCUAAAAGGUGUAGAAGUCUUUGGACCUUUUUACAAUAGUGGAUUUUUUAAAAGGAAAAAAUAACAACACUUUUAUGAUUUGUUUUGAUAAUCAUAUUUACAUAUACUCUCUAAUUUUCAAAAUGGACACAUAAUUUUUUUUUUUACAAAUAUACGUUAUUCGUAUUUUUUAUUAUUUUUAUUAUCGUAUUUUUAUUUAUUAUAAAUAUUUAAAGUAAAUUUUUAGGUUGAAAUAUAUUAAAAGGAUAUAAUCGUUCUCUUAUUAAACACACAUACUUUUAGUUUCUAUCCAUUUGUCAUCUCAAUCUCUCUCAAUUAUUGUUUAUUGCUAGCUCAAAGCGCGUUGCUGUGGAAAAUUGUAGCAAAAUGAAAAAUUGGAAAGAAAGGGAAGAAGAUUAAUGGGUGAAAGAAUUGGAGAAAACAACCAAAUAAGUCAACUGCUCUUUAGUGAGAACAUUUUACAAAAGGAUUGGAUCGAGUUUUUGUUUGAUAUUGAAGGACCUGCGUCCCUGUCGCGAUGUAGAAUAUGUGCAAGGAGUUGUCUACUGCUCUUUAGGCCAUAAUAAUGUGACUGGUGCAUUCCACGUUGCCCUCAAACAGUGGUCUGAAGUCAAAAGCAAUUAGUUACAUAACAAAUCAUUGUUCUUGGGUUAUACCUCGUCAUGUCUUCAAGUGCGAAGAUGAAGAUUAUGCAAGUGAAUUCAGGAAUACAAUACAUCAUUUCCAGCUCUUUGGGUUAUGGUGUGACUUGCGAUUCCCUCCAAUGAAUGAAAACGGGUGGACUAAUUCUGAUUACCUAAUUGACUCAGGAUCGGCUGGCAAUAAUAACAGUUUAUGAACAAUGCACAGUCCUAGUACUUUUCCAGGAUCUGAUACGACGUUGUCUAAUGUUGAUAAUAAUAGUUUAUUAAAUGACAAAUCAUUGAUCUUGGGUGUUGAUUUCAGAAAUAAAAUACAUUCUGAGAGAUGCUGGUCUACUGUUGCAAGCCCCCAGAUUUAAGAAUCUUCUGAUGAUAAUUUAUCACCUGCAACCGUGCCGGAAGAUUCAACUAGCACUGAAAAAGAUGAUAAUUUAAUUGAUAUGGACAGUUUCCAUAUCACUUUUAAAUCAUCCUAUGUAAUUGUGAUGUUAGGAAGCAUUAGUGAUCUAUAUGUGAACUAUUAUUGGUGCCAUUGGUGGUUUUAUCUUGUUAAAAUAUGGAUGACUUCCAGUUACUAUUUUGUAGUAUACAAUUUUAUUCAAUUAACAUAUAGCUUAAAACCAUUAUGUAUGUGCUUUAUUAAGAUUCUCAAGUACCAAUCACGUUUGCUUAAGAAAUAAAAUUUUACCAUUAAAAGCGUAGUAAUAUUUCCAAGCGCUUCGCAUUUAUCUCAACAUUUUGAAGGAAUUUUGAGAAAUACACGUGUCCAAAAGUCUAGUCAUCAUCCUUAUUUUUCUAUCGUUCUUUUGGGUUUGCAGUUGGUGGUGCUUUCAAUGUUUCCCUGAAACAUAGCAAAAGAAGGUACAUAUUCUUGGUAUGAGUUAGAUUUUUAGUGAUUAUCUAAUUGACUGGGGUGACAACAGUAGCACAACGUAGAAUUCAAUAAUAAAAUUCUCCUGUUUAAUUUGUUUUAAGUUAAAUAAUUAAUUACUUAAAACUCUGUUUUAAGUCUUUAAUUUUAUGUCUUGGCGUUUAUGCAGAGUUGGAUUCUUGAGUGAGUUGGACAUGACCUACAAUGAGAAUGACAGUAAACAAACAUUAAAACGUGUGGACUCCGGUGGCUGCCCUGCAAGUCUACAACUCUACAAGAAUAAUUUCUAGUCCCGUUGACUCCACUAACUAAAGUUUUUUAAAAUUUAAAAAGGUACAUAGAAUUCCAUGACAAGCAAAACGUGUGGAAUUUAAUUUUUUGCCGUGUGGAAAAAAAUACAAUUUAGCAAAAAAGGACAAGAAAAAUGGUAAGAUUUCUAAAAUGAGUGGAAGGUGAUCCAUAUUUUACUGAAACGACUUGUUCCGAACAUCACGACGUGAUUUUUUUUAUUUUUUAUUUUUGAAUAACAUCAACUUCCAUAUCUGUCUAACCCCCAGAAUAUGCUCACGUUCAAGUCUAUCUUGCUAAUUUAAAAAAAGAAAAUCAAAUCAACAUCUUCAGGAAGAUUUUCCUCAAUUUGCUCCAGAAGAGUUGGAGCUGUGGUUCUGAUAAACCAAAGAAUUAGUAGCAAUAUUAAUAUUGCCCACCCAAGAAAUAUGAGUGAAUUAAAGUAUUGACAAGACUUCGCUCAGAGGAGCAUUUAAACCACUUCCUUAUCAGUUGCGGCAGCCGUCUAUUAACUAAAACGCCAAUCUAAUACAAGAAGAAAGAACAUUUACAGACUUGGCAAUUGAGUUUAUUAAGAAGUAGCAUCGCAUUCGGGUGAUGAGUUUCCUUUUGUUAAUAAUUUUAGUCUAAUUUCAAUUGUACUGUGAUGGCUUCUCAAGGUAAGUGAAAGUUACAGAUGUGGCAAAAUAAAUAAUUAAAUUAACAAAAUGCUAACUGAUUUUCCUAAACACCUAGGGUUGUACAAUUUCACCAACCUGGAAGAAUUGACAUUAAUGGACUGGUCUCCUCCCCAUAUAAUUAUAAUCCUUCUAGAAAGCUAAUUUUUAUAAUUUCAAUUAAAAAAUGUUUUAAGUUAUAUAUACUCUAAUGAGAUUCUGAAUUCCUUUAUUCCAAUAAUAAUGAAAACGUAUUAAAUUAGAAAUGAAAAAAUGGGUGUUGAUGAUUCAUCCUGAUUUGGAUAGAUUACGUGAAUAAAAUUGAAAUUUUAAUAAAAAAACAAGGAAAGGUUUUUCCGAGUCAUCCAUUAUUUGAUUACCGUCAAUCAAGAAAACGACCAAAUUAAUUUCUCUCCAAAAUUUCCAAAAGCUAGAAAAUUUUGUUAUUUGAAAAUAACAUCAUUAAUUAUAGAGUGGAUCAAACCGCGUUAUUGUCUUUCAUAAAAUUGAUGUCUUUUUAAGAGUCAAUACUUUUUAUUUACGCAAACCAGUCGACAUCAACUUAAACUUCCAUAUUUUUAUUAUUAUGUUAUUGAUUUUAAUCCCUGAUUAUUUGAUUAGCCACUAUAUAUAUCAAGAAAGCGACAAAAUUUAUUUCUCAUGACUUUCAAAAACUAGAAAACAACAUCAUUUAUUAUUUUUUUGCAACCCUAAUUGACAUCAACUUUAACUUUAUUAUGUUAUUAUUUCAAUCCCCCAUUAUGACCUUUCUAAUCCUCCAUUAUGCAUCUUUUAUAGUGCAAAUUUAAUUGCACAUCUAAAUAAAUUGAUUAUUGUCACUCCACCACCAAUAUUUCAAAUAGUCACUAUACCAUUUCUGCCUUUAAUUUUCCCUUAAGUUUAACUAUUGACUGUUUUUAGCAUCUUAAAAUAUACAUUUAUUCCUUGAUUAUGUGAUAAAAUUAUGAAAAUAUCCAUUUUAGCUUAAAUUAAUUGGAAUAACCAUAAACAUAACUUAAAUUUAUAGAACAAAAUUAUCAAGUGUAUGUUCUAUCUUACUUUUUGAAGAAUUUAACAUAUAUAAUGCUAUACUAUUAAUAAAUUUAUCAUUUAAUAUAUAUUUUCAAAUAUUUUAUAUAUUUAUUAAUUGUUAUAUAGUCAAAGGAUGAAUGAUUUUUCUGGUCUACAUGAGUUGGUGCAUCUGCAAGACUCAAUUUUGACAACAAUGAUCUAAGGGGUAAUUUACCUUGGUGUUUGACAAAUUUAACCUCUCUUCAAGAUUUACUUCCAAUCUACUUACUGUAAAUAUAUCCUCAUCUCCUCUCAUUUAUAUGAUAACCCUUGAAGAUCUCACAUGUUCAAACAAUCAUAUUAGGAUUUUUAUUAUUAGCAUCAUUGUGUCAAUAAUAUAUGUUGCAGUAAGAUUUUUUCAGACCAAUUCCCUUCUUCAAAUAAUAAUGGAAAAGUAUUAAUUUAAAAAUAAAAUGAAUAUGCAUUGAUUAUAUCCUGAUUUUCAUCGAUUAUAGCGAGAGUUUCUCCAAAUCAACGCCCUUAUUCAAAUAAUACAGAAAAAAUAGUAAUUUAAUAGUAAAAUUAACAAGUGUUGAUUAUAUAUCCUAAGUUUCAUCGAUUAUGUGAUCAAAGUGGCAUUGUUGAUUUAUUUCUUGUUCAAUGUUAAUUUUUAGGUUAUCUAAAUUUCAAGGAUUUAAAAUCUUUGUUCAUGGAUUACAAGCUUAUUAAUUUUUUUGCCAUUGACUGUCAUAUUCUAGACUUACUGGUACCUUCCUUGAUCAAGGAUAAUUACUCUCUGUUCUCCUCUUAUAAAUUCCUCUUCCAUUAACAUCACUAGGAGUAUGUUGAUCUCUCAGACGUAAACUUCAGUGGAGAGUUUCCAAAUUGAUUGUUACAAAACAACACAAAAACUAGACACACUUGAUCUGUCUAAUAAUUCUCUUUCGGUAAAAUUAAUUAAUUUUAGGGGAAUAUUCGACAAAUCUAUAUAAUUUUAGAUUGAUCAUUAAUUAAUUAGACGAAAAACGUACUUGUGCUUUGUGCCGACAAUUGAACCAGAGAAGUGAAGCUGUAAAGAUUUGGCAGUAGUAAACUGUUAGAAAGACAUAAAGACAAGUUCCCAUUUUAUAAUUUUUUCAAAAAACGUUUUUACAACACAUGCACCUGGCCAAAAAUUUUAUUUUGCUAACUAACAAUAACUGAGUAGCUGACCGUACUGACUCCGCCUACUUGCUAAAGUAAAAAAAUAGAAAUAGAAUUUCCACAAAAUGUCAAACAUGUAAAAUCUAAUAUUUGGCCGUGUGGAACAAAAUACAAAUGAAAAAAAAAUAGAAAAAAGGCCUAAAGACUUUUAAAAUGUGUGGAAGUCUUUCGGCCCUUUUAUAAUGGUGUGUUUUUCAAAGGAACAAAUAAUAAUAAUGACACUUCUACGGUUUGUUUUGAUAAUCACACAUAUACUCUUUAAUUUGAUAAAUGGUUACACAAAUUUUGUUUACAAAAAUAUAUUAUUCAUGUUCUGUAUUAUUUUUUAACAUCAUAUUUUUAUUUAUUAUAAUUGUUUAAAGUUAAUUGUUAGGUUGAUAUAUAAUAAAAACGUAUAAUCCUUCUCUUACUAAACACACAUACUCGUAGUUUCUGUUCAUUUGUCAUCUCAAUCUCUCUCAUUUAUCCUUUAUUGAUAGCUCAAAAUGCGUCACUGUGGAAAAUUAUAGCAAAACGACAAAUAUGGAAAGAAUGGGAAGAAAAUUAAUGCAUGAAAGAGUUGCAGAAGACAACCAAAUAAGUCAACUAUACGCUAGCUGGGUGUAUAAAUUGUUAGAUGUGUUAUAAACAAAUAGCAUAGAGCCCUUUGGUUGGUUACAGAGAUAGAAAGAGUGUGUGUGUUUUUUAGAACUUAAAGAUACAGUUAGAAUGGGUGGUUCAAAAUCAAAAAUGGUGAUAAUGUUUGUUCUGUUAUUAAUAAUAUUAGAAGGUGGGGGGAGUGAGGGAUGUUUAGAUCAUGAGAGAUUUGCUCUUUUACGACUCAAACUUUUCUUUGAUGAUACUUAUAAUUAUCUUCACGAUUGGAUAGAUGAUGAGGGAGUUACUGAUUGUUGUCAGUGGGAAAGGGUUGAGUGCAGCAACACCACAGGCCGAGUGAUAGCGCUAGACCUUUCUGACACGUAUUCGGGAGAGUACAACUGGUAUAUGAAUGCUUCUUUUUUUACUCCCUUCCAACAACUUGAGUCACUUGAUUUACAUGGCAACAACAUAGCUGGUUGUGUUGAGAAUGAAGGUGCUUCGUCUAAUUCAAUUAAAUUACAUUUCGCUCUCCUAAUUUAAGUCGAAUAUCAAGACUGAGUAGCUAUAUGCAUAUUCAUUCAAUUGACAAUUUUUACAUAUUUUUUAAAAUGUUUAAUUUUGAAAUUACACCAAACAUCAUAUGUGAUCUUUGUUUUGAUUUUACUUGCAGGUCUAGAAAGAUUGAGCAACUUGAAGAGGCUUGAUUUAAGUUUUAACUUGUUCAACAAUAGCAUCUUAUCAUCUGUGGCUCAUCUUUCAUCACUAACAUCAUUAGAUUUAUCUGAAAAUAGAUUGGAAGGAAGUAUUAAUGUUAAAGGUACGUAAUUAAAACGUCAUCGCUUCUCCCAACUCUUGCAUUAACAUGCUAAAAUAAGAUUCAAGGCUUUGAAUUCAUUUUUUUUAUGAGUAAAUAUUAGAAAAAUAGUUUUAAGCAAUUCAUAAAUACAAUUUUCAAUGUUUCUCAUAAUUUCAUCUUGUACUUUUGUAUGUCUUGACUUUAAGAUUAAAAAAAAAAAUUACUCUAACUGUGAAGCAAAUACCCCAUGACUAAUUUAUCAUUUUGUCCAGUUAAAAAUGAUAAAAUUUAUCAUUUGUUUAUAUUGAUUAAUUAACUCUAUUUUAAGUCUUAAGUCUUGGCGUCUUGGCAUGUUUGCAGAAUUUGAUUCCUUGAGCAACUUAGAGGAGUUGGACAUGAGCGACAAUGAAAUAGACAAUUUAGAGGUUCCUCAAGGUAAACAAUUAAAAUAUUAUUCAAUUACAUUAAUUUAAUUCGUUUGAUUAGGGAAGACCCAAAAGGUACAAAAUAUAAUAAUAAUAAUAAUAAUAAUAAAAGAAACAGAGAAUCUAUAUUAUUUCAAAAAAUAAAACGUAAUACUAUUAUUUCAAAAAUAGAUUGUAAUAAAGAUUUGAUUCCGGUUCUUUAAUCUUUACAGCAAUUGAAAAACGAUGUUGCUCUUUUCCUAAAGCAUAAAAUAUGAAAUGACUCCCAAUAGAAUUAAUCAUUUAUUUCGUUUACUCUAAAUUUAAACAAUGAAUCUUGAUUUUCUUCAAUCAUAUCCUUAUUAUUAUUGUUAAACAGGUUACAGAGGUUUGAGGAAGUUGAAAAGCCUCUAUCUAUCGAAAGCUAAAAUUAGAGAUGGAAGCAAGUUGUUACAGUCAAUGGGAUCAUUCCCAUCCCUCAACACUCUUUACCUGAAGGAUAAUAAUUUUACCGAUAUAGCGACAACUACUACUCAAGGUAAGUAAAAGGUACAGAUGUGGCCAAAUUUACAAAUAAAUUGUUAAUUAAUUAAUUUUUCCGUAUUAUUAAUAAAGCUAAAUUCGUCGCUCCUUCCUUCUAAUUCUAAACAGAGUUGGCAAUUUCACCAACUUGGAGUAUUUGACAUUGGACUUGUCCUCGCUCCAUUUAAGCCUUCUACAAUUGCUUGAAGAAAGAAUUUAUUUAUUUAUUUAUUAUUGUUGUUGUUGUUGUUGUUGUUGAAGUGAGGUGGGCAAAGCGUUCACUCAAUUAAUAUGUGGGGAAUUAAUAAUUACAAUCCAAGGUAGAAUUGUGGAAAAUUAAAGCAAAAUGAGAAAUAUGGAAAGAAAGGAAGAAAAUUAAGGGCAUGAAAGACUGGGAGAAGACUAAAGACCACCAAAUAAGUCAACUGAAAACUAGCUGAGAGACAGAGAGUGUGCAUUUUGUUAAUUAAAUAUAUAUAUAUAAAAUGGGUGGUUCAAAAUCCAAAAAUGGUGAUAAUGUUAGUUUUGUUAGUAUUAAUAAUAUUAGAAGGGAGGUGGCGUGAGGGAUGUUUGGUGCAUGAGAGAUUUGGUCUUUCGAGACUUAAAACAUUUCUUCAAUUCUCCUUAUAAUUUUUGUCACGACUGACCGUUGUCAAUGGGAUGGGGCUGGGUGCAGGGUUGAUUUACGUUAGAAUAAUAUAGCCGGUAGUGUUGAGAAUGAAGGUGUUUCAUUUAAUUUAAUUAAUUUAUUUUCUCCCUCCUAAUUUAAGUGGAAUAUCAAGAUUGAACAAUUAUAUGCAUCUUCGUUCAGUUGACAAUUUUGACAUAUUUUUUAAGUGAUUAAUUUUGAAAUUACACCAAACAUUAUUUGUGAUCUCUGUUUUGACUUUACUUGCAGGUCUAGAAAGAUUGAGCAACUUGAAGAGGCUUGAUUUAAGUUAUAACUUGUUCAAUAAUAGCAUCUUGUCAUUUGUUGCUCGUCUUUCAUCAUUAACAUCAUUAGACUUAUCUUACAAUGGAUUGGAAGGAAGUAUUAAUAUUAAAGGUACGUAAUUAAAACGUCAUCGCUUCUCCCAACUCUUGCAUUAACAUGCUAAAAUAAGAUUCAAGGUUUGAAUUCAAUUUUUUUUAUGAGUAAUAUUAGAAAAAUAGUUUUAAGCAAUUCAUAAAUACACUUUUCAAUGUUUCUCAUAAUUUCAUCUUGUACUUUUGUAUGUCUUGACUUUAAGAUUAAAAAAAAAUUACUCUAACUGUGAAGCAACUACCCCAUGACUAAUUUACAAUUUUGUCCAGUUAAAAAUGAUAAAAUUUAUCAUUUGUUUAUAUUGAUUUAUUAACUCUAUUUUAAGUCUUAAGUCUUGGCGUCUUGGCAUGUUUGCAGAAUUUGAUUCCUUGAGCAACUUAGAGGAGUUGGACAUGAGCGGCAAUGAAAUAGACAAUUUCGAGGUUCCUCAAGGUACACAAUUAAAAUAUUAUUUAAUUACAUUAAUUUAAUUCGUUUGAUUAGGGAAGGCCCAAAAUGUACAAAAACAUAAUUAGAAAAAAUAAAGAAACAGAGAAUUCAUAUUAUUUCAAAUAACAAAAGGUAAUACUAUUAUUUCAAAAACAGAUUGUAAUAAAGAUUUGAUUCCAAUUCUUUAAUCUUUACAGUGAUUGAAAAACGAUACUACUUCCCAAAGCAUAAAAUACGAAUUGACUCUCAAUUAAAUUAAUCAUUUAUUUCGUUUAGGUCUAAAUUUAGAAAAAUGAAUUUUGAUUCUCUUGAAUCAUUUCCUAAUUAUUAUUAUUCAACAGGUUACAGAGGUUUGAGGAAGCUGAAAAGCCUGCAUCUAUCGGGAGUUGGAAUUAGAGAUGGAAGCAAGUUGUUACAGUCAAUGGGAUCAUUUCCAUCCCUCAACGCUCUUUACCUGAGCUAUAAUAAUUUUACCGGUACAACGUCAACUACUCAAGGUAAGUAAAAGGUACAGAUGUGGCCAAAUUUAUAAAUAAACUGUUAAUUAAUUAAUUUUCUGUAUUAUUAAUAAAGCUAAAUUUUUUGCUCAUUCCUUCUAAUUCUAAACAGAGUUGCACAAUUUCACCAACUUGGAAUAUUUGACAUUGGACGAUUCCUCUCUCCAUAUAAGCCUUCUGCAAAGCAUUGCAUCAAUAUUCCCUUCGUUGAAAAAACUGUCGAUGUCUUAUUGUGAAGUCAAUGGUGUCGUACAUGGUCAAGGUAAAAGAAAAGUGUUGGUUGUGCACUCACUCAGUGGUGUCCUACGUGUUCAAUAUUUUUAUUUAUUUAUUUUAUUGUUUAAUGAGAUGCUUCCACCCUCCCCUUUAAAUCUAUAAUAUUAAUUUUCGAUAAAUAUAUAAUUAUAGAAACCAAUCACUUAUAAAAGAAUGCUAUGCAUUUGCCAAUUUUUUUAUAUUUUACUGAUUGAUGAAUUAAUAAAUUUUCAGGCCUCUGUUCGUUGGUGCAUCUACAAGAGUUGUACAUUGCAACUCUUGUAGUAAUUAAUUAAUUAAGUAUUAGUUAAUUAAUUAAUUAAUUAAUUUUCUGUAUUAUUAAUAAAGCUAAUUUUUUUGCUCAUUCCUUCUAAUUCUGAACAGAGUUGCACAAUUUCACCAACUUGGAAUAUUUGGCAUUGGACUCUUCCUCUCUCCAUAUAAGCCUUCUGCAAAGCAUUGCAUCAUUAUUCCCUUCAUUAAAAAAUCUGUCGAUGUCUAGUUGUGAAGUCAAUGGUGUCGUACGCAGUCAAGGUAAAAGAAAAGGGUUGAAUGUGAACUCACUCAAUGGUGUCCUACGUGUUCAACAUUUUUAUUUAUUUAUUUUAUUGUUUAAUCUUUCUGCUAGGUUUUCCUCAUUUCAAGAGUUUGGAACAUUUUGACAUGGAUUUCACGCGCAUUGCACUCAACACUAGCUUUAUUGCACUCAACACUAGCUUUCUUCAAAUCAGCAGUGAAUCGAUGCCUUCUCUUAAGUACUUAUCACUAUCAUAUUAUACUCUUGGAACUAAUAGCAGCGGGACUCUUGAUCAAGGUUAACGAGAUGCUCCCACCCUCCCCUCCUAAUCUAUAAUAUUAAUUUUUUAUUUAAUAUAAUGACACAAACGAAUCACUUAUAAAAGAAUGAUAUGCAUUUGUUAAUUUUUUUAUUGUACUGAUGGAUGAAUUAAUAAAUUUUCAGGCCUCUGUUCGUUGGUGCAUCUACAAGAGUUGUACAUUGCAAGCAAUGAUUUAAGAGGUAGCUUGCCUUGGUGCAUGGCAAAUAUGACAUCCCUCAGAAUAUUAGAUGUUUCUUCUAAUCAACUUACUGGAAGCAUCUCCUCAUCUCCCCUCGUUCAUUUGACAUCCAUUGAAGAGCUGAUGCUUUCAAACAAUUACUUCCAGAUCCCAAUUUCACUUGAACCACUUUUCAAUUACUCAAGACUCAAGAUUUUCAAUGCUGAGAACAACGAAAUAAAAGCUGAAAUAACUGAGUCACAUUCUUUGAUCGCCCCAAAAUUCCAAUUAAAUACUCUCUCAUUGUCUUCCAAUUACGGAGACGGUUUCAUAUUCCCCAAAUUCCUUUACCAUCAACAUGACCUGGAGUAUGUUGAUCUCUCACACAUAAAGAUGAAUGGAGAAUUUCCAAAUUGGUUGUUGGAAAACAACACAAAAUUAGAAACUCUUUUUCUGGUUAAUGAUUCUCUUGCAGGACCUUUUCGGUUGCCAAUUCAUUCACACAAGCGGUUAAGACAGUUGGAUGUCUCCAACAACAACAUUCGAGGCCACAUUCCAGUAAAAAUUGGAGAUGUUUUACCAAGUUUAUACGUUUUCAACAAUUCCAUGAAUGCUUUAGACGGUAGCAUUCCCUCUUCAUUUGGUAAUAUGAAAUUCCUCCAAAUUCUGGACUUAUCCAACAAUCACUUGACUGGUGAAAUCCCCGAGCACUUGGCCGUGGGUUGCGUCAACUUGCAGUUUCUUGCAUUAUCAAAUAACAACCUACAAGGUCAUUUGUUCUCUAGAAAUUUUAACUUGACAAACUUGCAAUGGUUACAAUUGGAGGGCAAUCGCUUCGUAGGUGAGAUCCCACAAAGUUUGUCUAAAUGCUCCUCACUAGAAGGAUUGUACCUUAACAAUAAUAGUCUUUUAGGUAAGAUUCCACGAUGGUUGGGUAAUCUGACACGGUUACAAUAUAUUAUAAUGCCCAAUAAUCAUCUUGAAGGCCCUAUUCCAGUGGAGUUUUGCCAGCUUGAUUCGCUUCAGAUUUUGGACAUUUCAGACAACAACAUAUCUGGAAGUUUACCAUCUUGUUUCCAUCCUCUCUCUAUCAAACAAGUUCAUCUUUCAAAAAAUAUGUUACAUGGACAGCUAAAAAGAGGUACAUUCUUUAAUUGCUCUUCCCUUGUGACAUUAGAUCUUAGCUAUAACCGCUUGAAUGGCAGCAUUCCGGAUUGGGUUGAUGGGCUUUCUCAGUUAAGCCACCUUAUCUUAGGUCACAAUAAUCUUGAAGGUGAAGUGUCAGUUCAAUUGUGCGAAUUGAACCAACUACAAUUGUUAGAUCUUUCUAAUAAUAAUCUUCACGGUCCUAUUCCUCCUUGCUUUGAUAACACCACACUUCAUGAAAGUUACAGCAAUAGUUCUAGUCCUGAUGAGCAAUUUGAAAUAUUUUUUUCCAUCGAAGGCCAUCAGGGAUUUUUAGAAAAGCAAAACCAUGAAAUUUUUGAGUUCACAACAAAGAACAUUGCGUACAUUUACCAAGGAAAAGUGCUUAGCCUCCUAUCAGGACUUGAUCUUUCUUGCAACAAGCUAAUUGGUCAUAUUCCUCCUCAAAUUGGAAAUUUGACAAGGAUUCAAACAUUGAAUCUAUCACACAACAACUUGACAGGAUUGAUCCCAUCAACAUUUUCAAACUUGAAGCAUGUCGAAAGUUUGGAUCUUUCCAACAACAAAUUGAAUGGGAAAAUCCCUCAUCAACUAGUGGAGUUAAAGACAUUGGAGGUUUUCAGUGUGGCAUACAAUAACUUAUCAGGCGAAAUUCCAGAAUGGAAAGCACAAUUUGCAACCUUCAACGAGAGUAGCUAUGAGGGAAAUACUUUUCUUUGUGGACUGCCAUUGCCCAUUUGCAGAUCACCAGCAACUAUGCCGGAGGCUUCAAUUGGCAAUGAACAAGAUGAUAAUUUAAUUGAUAUGGACAGUUUCUUUAUCACAUUUACAACAUCGUACGUAAUUGUGAUAUUCGGAAUUGUUAUUGUUUUAUAUGUAAAUUCUUAUUGGCGACGUAGAUGGUUUUACUUUGUUGAAAUGUGGAUAACUUAAUGUUACUAUUUUGUUGUAAACAAUCUUAUUGCAACAAGAUAUUGUCAUUGAAAUUAAUUAGCAGUUUAAUUACGAUUCUUUAAGUUCUAAUCAAGUUUGCUUAGGAAAUAAUUUUUUUUUAUUUUUUUAUUAAAAUUGUAGUAGUAUUUAGCGCUAUAUAGCUUCCAACUUGGUAGAAAGCUCCAUUUUUUGUUGGCUACAGUAAAAGCAUGUUGUUUUAUUCUUCUUAUACUUUACGCCUGCAUCAGCUUAAAUCACUUCUUAAACGCUUGCUUUAACUGCACCGCUUCGUACUGCUCUAUAUAUGUAACGGUUAUGCGGUUGUAGCUCACGGCUCAAGCUACGCGUUUGUUUGACGUGGUAGUUACGUUACGAUGUUUCGAGUCUGUUAAACAUUCGGUGAUAAGAUUAGUUACAACAAACCUACUAGUUUUAUAAAAUUCAAGUGAGAUGGAAUAAAAUAAAAAAUAAAUAUAAAAUUGGCUUUUAUUUUUUAGGUUAACCAUAUUUUGUGUUCUCUUCGGGCACUACUACAAUUGUUCCCUAUACAUCAGUUACACUCACGUAUCAUCGACACGAAAAAUGAAAUCUAAUAUCACCUGUUUAGUUAAAGAAUCACUCAUGAAAAAAAAUUACCAUUUUGAUUUGAAGAUCCAUAUUUUGAACUACCAAUUAAUGUUCAUCAAGAACAGAGUGUGGCCGUUAAGUAGAAAAACUAUUUUUGGACAAAUUAUUAAAUUCCAAUAUUGUAUCCAUAUGCAAACGAUGCCUGAAGCAGAGCCUCCAAACAAUGACCAGGGCACAAAACAAGAGUGUAGUAAUCAAGUGUAUUGUCUCAUAAUCAAUUAAAAGCAGAUAUACAGGAUACCAUAUUCAAUUCCAAAAUAACAAAAGCAUAAUGAGGAUGAGAAGAACAAUGAUCACUCAAAUAUUUCUUCACUUUGGUUGUCAAUUAUCUAUUCAAAUUAAUCAGUGUCAUUAUGGACUUAUUUAUUUAGAAGAGCGGGUGAUAAAUAUAUUCAAUAAUGUGAACAAGAAGUUGAUUAACUUUUAUGAUCAUUUGGAAGGUCGGCGUGUCAUCACUCGUCAAACACAUUGCAUCGAUCCACCAGCAUGAACCGACCGGAUUAUGCCCAAAAGUUGAAAUAUCAAUAAAAAAAACAAUUAAUUAAAGGUCGAAGAUGGGUCCUUUACAUAUGUUUUUGUUUUCGUAUUAGGUAGGAGGUUAUUAUAUUAUAUCAUGUAAUUAAUUUAUUAUUACUCAACACUAAGUAAUAACUUAACUAUAUAAAGACAACAAGAAGAUAAAAUGAUAUAUAAAAAAAAAAAGAAUUUCAAAGAGAUAGCAACAUACAAUAGACUGAAGCCAUUUGAUCUGCUCAUUGAUUUCAGCCUUAAACUUGUAAAUAGUUACUGUCAAAUAUUCUAUUCAUACGAAAAAAAUGUUUAGAUAUCUUACUAUAAAUAUAGCCGUUUGACUGUCUUAAUAAAGUCACACACAACCAUUCUUAUUAAAUUAGCAAGAUCAAACACUGCCCUGGAUCUUGAACAGAUCAACACAAGAUGCACAACUUAUGAUUGAACCCAGAAACAAUCAAAUCUUUAGCAAGAACAAUUAAUCAGAGUCAAGAAACAAGUUUAAUGAAUAUAAACCUAUAAUUGAAACAAACAUAGCCAAGAAAAAAAUACAGAUUUUACACGGUUCAGUUGUACCUAGGAUGGCACAACCUACACCACGAGAGAAGCUUUCUGGUGAGAUUUUAUUGAUGAUCAAAGAAGAAUCUUUUGACAAAGCUAAUAAUAGAGAUUUCAGAGAAUAAGCUGUAACCCUCUCUCCCUCUUCAAUCUCUCUCUAUUUUGUUCCCAUUGAUGACCCCAAUCUGCUUAGUUAUCCAGCUUUAUAUCUGCAUCAGUAACAAACCAGCAAACCCAGAUUGAGCAGAUUGACGACACGUGGAUAACGGCUUUAACGAACCUGGUUAAGAACUGCUCACAUGUUCGUCACGCGUGCUGCUUAAAUGAUGGCCAAAACGACUUCAAACAAAUGUCGUUUUGAGGCUUAUGAAUUACAAGUGAUAACACGAGCUUGUCUCAUGACUUUUAAAUGCAACAGCGUGCCCAAAACGCCGUCGUUUUACUCUGUUGAGUUUGAUUCAUUACUAAGCUUUACGACUGGCACUGGAGAAGAUGAUAAUUUAAUUUACAUGGACAGUUUUUAUAUCACUUUUACAACAUCCUAUGCAAUUGUAAUAUUGGGAAUUAUUGAUGUUUUAUUCUGUGAAUCCUCAUUGGCAAAAACUAGUGGUUUUAUCUUUGUUGAAAUGUAAAUGACCUCUCGUUACUAUUUUAUUAUAAACAUAUAGUUUCGUAAGUGAAACUACAUGUUUAUAAUAAAAUUAACAUAUAGUUUCGUUACAUUUCUGCCUCAUUAAGAUUCUCAAAUACCAGUCAGGUUUGCUUAAGAAAUAAAAUUUUUCCAUUAAAAUUGCAGUAGUAUUUCCAAGCAUAUCGCAUUUUCUAUGAUUUUUCAUAAAUUAAUUAAUCUGCGGUGCCAAUAUCAGAUUUAGUUUUUCAAACUAAAUAAUCAAGAAAGCAAACAUACAAAUAUACAGUUUAGAGGGGUAAACUAGGUAGGUGGUUUAGAUUUUAGAACUAAGCCAGCUACCUCACUAAAUUCCGAUUCGUACAGUGAACUGCAAGAAAUUGAGAAAACAAUGAAUUUAUAAUUUAAUAGAAUCAUAAGAAAACAAUGUAGUCAUUGCUCCAUAUAAGAUGAUGAUUUCGGAGAGGCACAUUGUUUUCAAGUUAAUUUGAUCCGUUUAUAAGAGAUGAAGUGGAAUCAAGUUGAAAGUUUAAAUAACAAAUCCUUGUUCUUGAGUUUUACGACGUCGUUACUCCUUCAAGUGGCAGAUUAUGCAAGUGAAUGCAGAAACACAAUGCAUCAUCCGCGGGGAUGAUACAUCAAAAGGCGGGAUUUGUUUAUGCCUGCAGAUUAGCAAUUUCACUCAUAUAGAAAAUUAAUUUUUUAUAUAUACUAAUCAACACUAAAUUGAUUAUGUGUUGUAUGUUUAUAUGCUAAUCAACACGAAAUUAUAUUGAAUUAUUAACAUUCAUAUUCCUAAUAAAAAUUAUUUUCCAUCAGUAUUCAAAAUUUUCACUUAUGGAAAAUGCGUUUUAUGUGAAUACUAGUUAUUGUGUAAAUUUGAAUGAUAGCGAAAAAUAAACCUAUUUGAAAACUGUAAGGGUGUGUUGGGAUAUUUUACAACUGUCGGAAUCUGGUAGGAUAUUGCACCAUUUGCCCAAUAUUUUUAGACGUACUCUAACCGGUAUUCAAGAUAAGUAAAAGUUACAAGCGUGGCAAAAUAAAAAAAUAAAAUUUGUAAUUUGUAAACGAAUUUUCCUGACAUGUAUAGUAGAUGAAGUUGUUGAUCCUUUCUUUGGAUUAUUUCAGCUCUGGUUGUUGGUCACCGAUGAGCCGAAGUCUUAUUUUAAUUUUAUUUAAACUCAUCAUAAGAUUCGUGGAGCACCUAACUAACUUAACUGACUGUGCAGAGCAUCUCAACAUGGCAUAUUUAACCAUCAUUCAAGUGAUGGGUUUAAUAAGACUGCUUUUGUUCUAUCAACUAUCAAGUUCCUCUGCCUCUAAGCAGAAUUACUAUUGAAGGGCCAAAAGGAAAAUGAAAACGUGUGAGCUCCAACAACCACCCCACAAAUUCAAUGACGAUGCUCGGAGAGGGUUAGGUUGGGCCUCUGAGAAAAAAAAAAUUAUUUAGUUAAAAAGUUACCCUUAUUGAAACCUGUAUAAAAAUUUUAUAUUAAUUAGUUAUGUUGCCUCUUCAACUAUGAUCAAAUUUUUAUCCGAGCUCAUCAUUUAAUGAGUAAACAUGUAUUUUAAUGAUCUCAAUUAAUAUUUAGAACAAAUAUUUUAAGAAGUAAAGCUCAUUAUAUCUUCCAUUAUUAUGUAUUUCUUUAAUUUCUUAUUUACAUAAUUAUAUUGUACAUUAAAAAUGUAUUGAAUUUGAAGAAAAAAAAAUUCAACUCACUCAAAAAAAAAAAAAAAUGCUGGUAGCUUCGUAAUAAUUACUGUAUUGACUGCACCAGAUAAAGUUUUGUAAAAUAAUAAGUUCUCAUUAGUGGUUUUUAAUUUUUUUAAUUUUUUUUUCCGGCACACCUGAUCAAGAAUUCUAUUUUGUUAACUAAUCAAUUGCAAAGCAUAAGUGUUGAACGGCAAAAAAAUUUAAAAAAACACUUAAAACGUGGGGAAAUGAGAAAUAUAGAAAGAAAGGAAGAAAGUUGAGACAUGAAACUGAUCUGCAGUGAAAUUGAUAAUCAUGUUUCUAUUUCGUUAACUAAUCAAACGGAAAACUGAAACUGUAAACAAACAUUAACACGUGUGGACUCUGCUAGCUGCCCUACAAGUCUACAAUAGUAAUUGAGUACCUUUGAUUCAUCCUUCUAUGAAUUUCUAGCUGUAUUGACCCCAACUGCUAAAGUUUUGUAAAAAAUAAAAAUAAAAAUAAAAAAACUGGAAUUUCAACAAAAUUCAAAACGUGUGAAAUUCAAAAAUGGACUUUGGCCAUGUGGAACAAAAUGUAAAUUAAGGAAAAAGUAUAAAUCUCAAUUGCUUAGUAUGGUUAGGAUUUUGUGAGCAUCACUAAAAAGUGAAAACUAUGAAUGAUAGAGGUGAUGUUUGCAACAUGAAUAAAUGAUGAACUGAAUCAAUUGAUGAUCGUAAUUACAUAAUGAACAAAAUUUACAAAAUCAACAAAAGUUAAUAAAAAUUUAUUCAAAUAAUAAAAAAUCAAUAAAAACUUAUUAUUUAACGGCGCUCAAACCAUGGAGUACCAUAAUCAUAAUCUUCUUUUAAGAAAAUUAUAACUUAUUAUUUUACAGGUUUGAUCCAUUUGGAAUGAAGUGGUCUCAAGUUGAAAGUAAUUAAUUUAUUGAAUAACUUUCGACUUAUUAAUAGUUAUAUCAACGGGUGUUUUACCUCAUCAUGUCUUCAAGUGGAAGAUGAAGACUAUGCAAGUGAAUUCAGGAAUAUUGCAUGCCUGUUGUCUAAAGCAUUACCUCACAAGGUUUCAUGAGAAACGAAAGAUGUGUUUGCUUUGAACAAUUAAAGUUACUGCUACGAACCUCCCCAAAGGUCAAGAAGACAGAACAGGAAGCUAAUGCCAUCAAUGUCUUGUUCAUUAUAGCUGCUGGGUAGUUAGGUGUAGUUUCCUCAUUUGAAGCUGUCUAUACAUAGGCAUUUCCCCUGCUUAUGUACAAAUAAAUGAACAACCUUGAAGCUUUAUUAUUCGCAACAAAAAGGGAUUACUAAUUGGAGAAGACUAUACAGAGUUUUCUCUCACACUUGCUCUCUGUCAAUUUCAUCCAGAAGUCCCUCUGAAAGCUUCUCCCAAAACAGUUAGUCAUCUUUUAUGCUCUGUUUUCUGAAAACAGAGUCCUAACUAAAUUAAUUGACUGUACAGUGCAUUUCAACAUAGCAUAUUUAACCGUUUUAACAGUUAUUUGGACCGUCUUCAGAGGUAACAUCAACAAACUCAUUCAUAUGCUUAAUAAUGAACGAAUAGUCUUGGAUUGAUGUUUUGCAGCAAGAGCAACACGACACAAUCUGGAUUCAACCUCCUCCUUUCUAACAGGGGAUUUCGAUUUGAGUUACUUUGUGCUCAAGCAAAUUCACAUCAUAGUUUUGAUUCUUUAGAUAUGAAUUCAUCUCAUUACAUAUAUCAGAUUAAGUGUAACAAAAUUUGUAAUUUACUGCGAAAAGAAUAUGCACUAAAAAAUGAUUUCAAGACUAUUUGACUACAAAAAGCAGCUGUCAGAGUGCACUAAAAAUUUCUGUAGGAUAUUUUGUAGCUGUUUAAUAUGUUAUGAUGGGCAUAUAAUUCUCAAAUUUUGAUGCCUCUCAGCGAAAAAUAUAUCAAAGUUACGGAUGAUAUCACGUAAAACAUGCAUGGCUCAGGCUCAGGCUCAGGUAAGAAAGCCACAGAAAUGGAAAAUCUCACUGUCACGACUCACGUCACGCAUCAUUCAAGUGAUGGAUUUAACAAGACUGCUUAUGUUCUAUCAAAUUCCUCUGCCUCUCAGAAGAUAACUUUUCUGGGCCAAAUUUCUCAUCUAAAGCAUAUUAUGCCCCAAAGUCACAGAUAACAAAAUGGGGCACUACCGAUUAUGAAAGAGAACUAGUAGUUGUCAGAAGCCUAAGCCAAAUUCCGGUAGUAAGAAGAGGCCUUUCUUGAGUUUAGAUUAUGUGUUCGAGUUUUAAUAAAUGCCUAAGUUAAUAAUAAUAACAACAGUAAUAAUAAACUAAAAAGCAUAAUUACUAUUGAAUGGUAAAAAAAAAAAUGAAAAUGUGUGAACUCCAAUAACCACCCCAGUGGCGAAUUUUGGAGAGGGCUAGGCCGGGCUUCUUAGAAAUUAUUUUUAUUUAAUUACAAAAUCACCUUUACUGAAACCUAUAUAAAAUUUUUUAUAUUAAUUAAUUAUGUUGCCUCUUCAAUUAUCAUUAAAUUCUUGUCCGUUCAUAAUUUGAUGGAUAAAUGUGUAUUUCAAUAAUUUCAAAUAAUGUCUAGAACAAAUAUUUUGAAUUAUAAAACUCAUUAUGUCCUGCAUUACUAGAUGUAUCUAUAAUUUAUUAUUUACAAAUUAUAUUGUAUGAUAAAAAUGUAUUGAAUUUUUGUUUAAAAAAAAGUUCGGCUCACUCAGAAAAAAAUGUUAUUAGCUUCGCCACUGCACAAAUCUAGAAUAAUAAUUAUUCCUUAUUAUAUUGACUGCACCAAGCAAUAAACUAAUAAGUUCUCAUCAGUGGUUUUUAAUCUUUUUAAUUCUUUUUACCGCACACCUGAUCAAGAAUUUUAUUUUGUUAACUAAUCAAUUGCAAAGCAUAUAUAAGUGUUGAACGGUACACAAGAUUGGAAAAAAAAAAUCUUAAAAAACGUGCGGAUUCGGGUGGCCACACCAGAAAUCUAUUACAAUAAUUAGCUUUGAUGCUGGGAAUCUUUUAAUUUCUGGCCGUAUUGAAGUUUUUAAAAUAAUAAGUUCCCCUUCUCGUUUUUUUUUUUUUUUAAAUAUAUAUGCUUAUAACAAUUUUAGAAUAAUGAUUCAUUUGUAGAAGAACUUAUGAUUUCCCAUUAAUAUUAAUAUUGAAGUGGGGUGGGUCAAAUCUCAAUUGCUUGAAGAAUUUAUGUAUUAUUAAAUAUUACCAUCCAAGGUAGAAUUGUGGAAAAUUAAAGCAAAAUGACAAGUAUGGAAAGGAAGGCUGAAAGUAAGGCAUGACGAAAGGCUUUGAGAAGGCUGAAGACUACCAAAGAAGUCAACUGAAAACUAGCUGGGGCCUGAGUGUAUAAAUUGUUAGAUGCGUUUGUUAUAAAUAACAUAGAGCCCUUUUGUUAUUUAUAGUUAUAGAGAAAGAGAGAAUGUGUGUUUUUUAAUAGUUAGAGAUAUAGCUAGAAUGGGUUGCUCAAAAUCCAAAAUAGUGACAAUGUUAGUUCUCGUAUUGAUAAUAUUGGGGGGGGGGGGGGGGGGGGGGGGGGGGGGGGGGGGGGGGGGGGGGGGGGGGUGUUGGGAGGUCGAGUGAGGGAUGUUUGGAGCAUGAGCAAUUUGAUCUUUUGCGGCUUAAACAUUUCUUCAAUUAAUAUCGAUCUGGGAGAGUGGUAUCUGAAUGCUUCUCUAUUUACUUCCUUUCAACAACUUGGUAACAAAAUAGCCGGCUGCAUGCGUUGAGAAUGAAGGUGCUUCAUUUAAUUUAAUUUACUUAAUUUCUCCCUCCUAAUUAAUGUCUAUAAUCAUUAGGAGGAACAAGGGAUUUUAUUAACUCAAAUAUAUCUAAUGGAUCUCAUUCUUUGGUUUUACUUGCAGGGCUAGAAGCAGGUGUCAUCUAACAGCUGCUUUGAUAAUUUCCCUCCCCUUCAUCUUUGAUGGAAAGAUGAAAUAAAAACAAAUUGGUGAAAAUGGUAUUGGUACCUGAGGCUAUGUAAUCUAAUUCAAAAACUGCACCAUCAAAACGAUUACAUAAGUCUCAGAAGAAUCAAAUAUCAGUUUGCAAAAUAUCAAUUGCUGGAGGUUUGAUUCUAACUUCCGCUCUUCAUUUUAUGGGCAUAUUGUGUUGUACUUGCAUCCGAAAAUCAUAUUUUAGUUUACUUGCACUCAAUGCUUGGAUUAAAGUUUUUUGGGGGGGGGGGGGGGGGGAUUGAAGAAGACUAAAAUUACACCAAAAAAGAGUUGAGCGAGAGCGGGUUUUGUCUUCAUUUAAGGAGCUCUUUAUAAAUUUUGGGAUUUUUUUUCCUGAGAAAAUUUAUGCCAACUCAUUCUUUGCUUCUUUUCUGAAGGACACAUGCAACCGAAAGUAUAUUCUUGAAUUCUCCAGGAUAAGAGACAUACGUUUAGAUUCUGGAGCAUUUAAAACAAUGUCAAAUUUUAGAUUGCUGAAAUUUUAUAUAUCCGAGUAUGAUGGUGUUCCAAUUAUAAGCUCCAGGGUGCAACUUCACUGAGGUUUAGAAUGCCUUCCUAUAGAAUUGAGAAAUCUCCAUUGGCAUAAAUAUCUUUUGAAAAUACUGACAUCAGAUUUUGAAUUGGAGAACCUGAUUGGACUCAGCUUGCCCUGUAGUAAGGUUAAGCAAAUUUGGAAAAGAGAAAAGGUAUAAUGUAUUACUAUUACCAAAGUAUCUAUUUUUCUUUCUUUAAGUAUUUUAUAAUGAAUAACUUUGAAAUUCAAUGAUGCUCAUUUAGUAUAGUUAUGUAUCUUUGGUUAUAGGAAGCUGUCAAGUUAAAAUCUAUAGACCUUCACCACCCCUUUAUCUCAAUAGGAUCCCAGAAAUACUAAAUCUUAAAAAAAUAAAUCUUUCAAAUUGUGAAAGCAUGCUUACGUUACCCCCGUAUAUCCACAAUUUCAACUAGCUGAGUAUGUUGUGUUUCAGGGAUGCAAAAUUCAUUUUGUUUCUCAUGAAAGGAUUGACUUGUCCGGAUGUAUUAGGGUUAGUAACCAACUAAUCCCAUAAUUUGUUGAUGUAGGGUCCUAACAAAUUAUCUGCAGUAGAUUGUAGAUCACGUACACUAUUCGAAAACGUAUUUGAUCCACACAGUGAAGUGGAUAUUGGACCAAUUUGAUGAUAAUGAAUUUCUUUCAAUCUCAAUCUUUUUUCUUUUUAGCAACAUGACUAGUCAUUGUGCAAAUUCAAAACUCUGACAAUAAUUUCUCAAUCGGUUUCUAAGAUGAUGACCAUGCAUGUAUAUGUAUAUGCGUGUGUAUAUGUGUGUGUGUGUAGAGAGAGAGAGAGAGAUCACACGUGUGUGAUUUCCUUUUUGCCAAUAGGAUAUGCAGAGAGCUUGAUCUUACCCAAUAGCGAAACAAACUUCCUAAUAAGUGAAGGUAUAGUAUAAAUACUUAUACUUUCAUGUUAUUUUGUUCAUCAGUAGCUUGAUUAUUUUAUAUGCGUCUUCGAUUUUAAUUUUCUUUCCCUAUAAUCGCUAUUAUCUUUGAACUGGUCAUAAUUUGCCCAUAAGAUUUCUCAUGUUGUUUUGAGGUGCAACGGAUUUUGAAUUUAGUGACAAGCAGUGGAAGCCAGAAGGCAAAUUAUGAAAAUGGAUAAAGAUCUAUAAUUAGCUGUUAUGGGAUGUCACAUAUCAUAUUGAUGGUAACGUUAUAUAUAUGUACAUAUAAUUAAUGGGGUUGGCUCACGAGCCCAUUAAUAAUGGUAUAUUAGCUUAUAUACUUCAAACAAUGUACUAUGAAGCAAUUUCACAAAUACUUGUUAGCUUAUGUUGAGCUUUAUUGAAUCAGUAGUUCACAGUUCAAUAAAAUGCAGGUUUGCUAUUUGAAGUACAUGGUUAUGGUGCGUACAUUCUUCAUAAGGCUAACUACUAAUUUAUCAUUGAAACUUGAAAAAUGUGAUAGAGAGAUGUAGAUAACAGCCGCAAAACACUGAGAUUGAAAAUCAGGGCUACUAAAUUCUAUUAAAAGUCCUUAAAAUAGACAGCGAUCACCCUGAAAUGUAUAUACUGAAACUAAGAAAUAUUAAUCGCAAAGUUAUGCAUUAAUAGAACUAUUGACUACUUAUCUUUAGCAUAAAGUAUAUUUUUAACUACAGCUUUCUGCUUUGUUCUAAGAACUAGGCAAAAGUGGUGUAUCUUCAAUCCAAUCAACAUAUAUACCACUUAUCUUCCUCUUCACUUCUGUCUAUUUUGAUUUGCACUUCAUAUCCUGCACUUGCUGCUUAGAAAUAGUCUUUAUUCUGGACAUUGAAAGUAGAAAAAGUACUUGAAACAAUCAUUGGCACAGCCCGAGAUUCCAUUGAAUCGUGGACUCCAAGCUUUCAUAGUUCUAUAAAGAAGAUGACAAAACUUCAUACAACUGGCAUUCUGCUUUUAACAUUUGCACAACCUGAGCGAGUUAGCAAGCCCCUUGUUGCGUUCCCAUUGAAUAGACCUACUUCUGUUAUCCGCAGAAGAUCCACCACUCAAAAUGUUUAUCACCAGGCUAUUCUUAAACUGAGCCUAAACUGAGUAGAAACUUCCGCACAUCUCUCAGCAUUUACAUGAAGAAAUCGACAACUAUCCUCAUCUCUCAGCAUUCUACAAAGUUGCAUUUCACUAAGCAAUCUAUCCUCUCCAUUCCUAGCAAAGUGACAUUGAUUCCCGUAUUUGUAAUCGCCUAACUUGGGUUUUGGCAUAGCGUGGUCUUAAAAAUUACCACCCAAUACUUUGUUCAGUGCCACUGGCAUCCACAAGCUCUAGCCCUGUUAGUUGAAUCAUAUUCAAUGGGACAGUGAGGCAGCAUUUCACUAACAUAUUCAAUUUGACUACUUAUAUUGACGCAAAUAUUAGAAUUUGAAAUCACUUCUUUUAUUGGAAUAUUAUAUUAAUAUGACCCCAAAUGAAAGUUCUUGAAUGGAAAUGAUUUUUAUUUACUUUUCGAACAGAUUCAAGAAAACCCAGAGAACACAAAAUUUACACAGUAAUAUGAUUAAGAGCUGAGAACGUAUAUGUAGUAAAUGUCUAUCAAAAAACACCCAAGGGUUUCUUUAAAAUUAGUAACUAGUAAACAAAAGAAAGAAUCAUUUUACAUUUUUAGCAACUUUGGGGUGAGUGAGUGAGUGAGAAAUUGAAACCCUCAAGUGAUGACAACAGUAAGAUUCAGUAUGAAGUGAAACCCCAAUUUGAAAUGUAGGCAUGAGUUGCUGAGUCAGUAGAUGAAGCUAUAAAUAGGCAUUCGGUUUCCUUCUUUUCGGUUUGGAGGCCAUGGAAUAGUGUAUUGGAGUGGGCUCCAAGUAAUAGCCUCUAUCACUGGAACGACACAUCUAUAAAAUGUGAUACAUGGGGAAGGAUUGGGCAUUUUAUUCUUAGAUUAGCCCUUAUUUAGGGUGUAUAUUAAGCAGAUUAUAUAUUACAUGGAGAUGGAGUUUAAAUAGAUUAAAAAGAAAAGGAAAUUUUGGUGCCUAAAGUUUGCCACUUGGAAUAUUUCGGUGUCUAAAAAUUCACUCACCACUUAUUUCAUGUUUGAUUAUAUGUUGAAAAGAUAUUAAAAUAGUAUAAUGCUAUUAAGGCUUAACGUAUAUUUUUUAUUAGUAGAGUGUAGAAUUUUUAAGAAAUAAAUUAUUAAAUUAUUAUAACUAACAUAUUAUUUUAAAGUUGUGUUAUGAAAAAAAUGAAAUAAAAAUGUACAGUAAAUAAGAAUAUUUUAAAACUUUUAUCUUUUUAAAAUUAGUUUUUAACAUAAGGUGAACUAUUUUUUUUUUAAAAUCACAUAUUCUAGUUAAAAUCAAAUAUGUAUUUAUCGAAGCUUGUAAAUUUUUUUUUUUAGUACUGAUAUUUGAAUAUUAUCAAUAAAAAAAAGGGUAAUGUUCAUGCUGCAUUAUUUUUGUAGCACACAAAAGGACAACACCGUUUAUGUUAUAAUACUAUCGCUUCUGUUAUGAUAAUUUUUUUUGUGGCCAAAUAUCUUUUUUUUUUUUAAGUAAAAAAAGUGGACAAAAUGCAAAUCAGUUUUUAAUCCUCAAUCUCUCCCAAAAAUAUAUAUUUCGGUGUCUAAAAAUUCACUCACAAAACUAUAGCUGACAAAAAGUUACUAACAAAAAGUUAGGUCCAUGGGUUGUUAAAACUAUAGCUGACAAAAAGUUACUAACAAAAACAGAAUGUCCAUUUUAUAACUUUCUUAAAAAACUUUCCUUAACUUUUUUAAACAAAAAGUUAUUUCCAAUUUUUAUUUUGUUAUAAUGUUUAUAACAAAAUUCGUAGUUAACUAAACUCUUCUUAUACCCUUUCUCAACUGCCAUACCCUAACCCACUAAACCACGCUCAAUUAAGGCCAUCAGAUUCUCCGGGCCCACAUUAAUCCAACUGCUCACAGAGACCGACAGCCUCUCUAUCUCCAUUUCAAGCUCCCUCUUCAACUGGCUUCUGCUACCGUCCUACUCUUUCUCGGCUUCGGAGUCCGUAUUUGCUCGGCCUGUCCCACGAAGCUCCCUCUCACUCCAAUUGUCGCCCCACAAGACCAAUUGCUUAAUCAAGACACCGAACAAGAAAGGAUGAGAAGUUGAAACAAGAAUUUGAGAAUUGGAAAUAAAAACGUACGCAUUGACCGUGCCUUUGAGAGUCGUUUCUCUUCAGAACUCAGUGCCUCAAUCUUGGGUUAAGGAUUUUAUGCGAAGUCAGGGAAAGAGAUUGAAGUUUCAGAUGAAUUUGUGUGCUAGCAUUGAUGGGAUCUUUAACAAUUUAUCUGUGCCCUUUAACAAAGUUAAGGCUAAGUCAGCUUCUUAUAUGGCUGCUGAUUUGGUUAGUGUUGGUGAUUCAUGGCUUAGUUUUGCCAUUAAAAAGAGAUUGAUUGAGCCAAUGGCUGGAGCUGAAGACCAAGAUUGGUUCAAAUGCUUAAGUCACAAAUGGAAGGUAACAUCUUUGUCUUUGAUCCUCGAGGUAAAAUAUGGGCGGCACCGUACAGGUGGGGCACAACGGUGAUAGCCUACAAGAAAAGUAAAUUUCGAAAGCAUAAUUUGGCUCCGAUUGAGGUAAUAAUUUUCUUUAAACUCAUUUAGUUUUAUAUCAAACAAAAUCAAGACUGCCUUUCUCUUCAAUAUUUUUUAUGAUAAUAUCUUUAGAAGCAUCUCAUUGACGGGUAACAAUGGCAUCCUGGUUAAGGAUUUUAUGCGAAGUCAGGGAAAGAGAUUGAAGUUUCAGAUGAAUUUGUGUGCUAGCAUUGAUGGGAUCUUUAACAAUUUAUCUGUGCCCUUUAACAAAGUUAAGGCUAAGUCAGCUUCUUAUAUGGCUGCUGAUUUGGUUAGUGUUGGUGAUUCAUGGCUUAGUUUUGCCAUUAAAAAGAGAUUGAUUGAGCCAAUGGCUGGAGCUGAAGACCAAGAUUGGUUCAAAUGCUUAAGUCACAAAUGAAGGUAACAUCUUUGUCUUUGAUCCUCGAGGUAAAAUAUGGGCGGCACCGUACAGGUGGGGCACAACGGUGAUAGCCUACAAGAAAAGUAAAUUUCGAAAGCAUAAUUUGGCUCCGAUUGAGGUAAUAAUUUCUUUAAACUCAUUUAGUUUUAUAUCAAACAAAAUCAAGACUGCCUUUCUCUUCAAUAUUUUUUAUGAUAAUAUCUUUAGAAGCAUCUCAUUGACGGGUAACAAUGGCAUCCCUGAAAGAGUCUAUAAACUCAAUGAUAUUAUCUUCUACAAAUGGUUCAUUAAACUUUGUCGUUGUACUCAAAUGUACACUCAGAUCAAUGAGAAGCUAUGCUACGUUAGCAUGUAGUGAUGGCACUUAAUAAGUGAGUUGCUAGGAUGUGAACUAGAAAAAUUAAAUAUUGUCUCCUUGGGUAUGCUAGCUGGUAAGUCAGGGUUAAUAUCAGAGCUUAAGAUAGUAUAACCGUGAGAACCUAUUGACUGCCAAUUAAAAUAUCCAUUGAAAUGUCUAGGGAGUUAUGAAGGUGGAGGUAACUUCCAAUUUCUAAGGCCACAGAGUAGACAUCAUCCAGGAUCCUAGGAAAGUCCAGUUAACCUCCUGCUCGAUGCAAUUAAUAAAUUUGGUCAAUGCCACUGAAACCUGCUAACUGACGUCACAAUGCGACAUGAGCACUUCAAAAUGGGACAGACGGUCAGUAGCACUAAAUUUUUCUUGCCAAGAUUGAGCAAUUGGUCUAACUACUAAUCCCUAUUGUAGUUGAUCAUUAUUUUUUCAAUUAUGUUCAGUUUGACCCAAAAAGUUGCAGAAUCUUGAGCUAAAUAUUGUCACUGAACACUGUCAAUGUCAUUUAGCAUAGCCAACUAACUUGAUGUUAAAACAAACACACAGUGUGUCUCAUGUCUCACAAUUCAAAUUAUCAUCUGUAAUGUUGGAGAAUUUUUCCAAUGUAUGAAGUAUGCUUUGAUACGUGGGUUACCUUGGAGAAGAUAUCUCAAAAUAAAGAAUAUGGGGAGAAAACAGUUCAGUAGUUUAUUAUUCGUAGUCAAGUUUUGUCUCGAAAAUGGUCAAAAUUUAAAUGAAUAAGGACAGGGGAUCUUCAUUCUUUUUUCCCUUUUUAUACCAAGAUAUCUCUCAACCUUUAUAUAAUCCCCACUGGAUAUCUGCUUCUAAUAAUUAAAAUAAAAAUUUCACCGCUCUAACAAUAAAAAGUAACAUCUUUCCUCAAAUAAUUUACAGUUCCUCAUCAUCUUAGUGUGAGAAUAUCAGUACAUUCCAAACAUAAUAAAACUGGUUUGAUCCUGUUUAUUGAUGUUUAAAUGUUGUUCAUUGUGACAGGUAGAAAUGAUGAGGCGAAGUUUAUUUGGACAUCAAUUAGUAAGAUCUUGUUUGAAGUUGUUUUCUGAAAUGAACUGCCAAAUGGUAGUUUUUGGGGGCAUUUGAUGGCUCUUUUUUUUUCCUCAUUUUCAACAUGUGCCUGCUUGGAACAUGAAGGAUUAGGCUGCAGAGUUGUUAUAUAUUUUGAGAUGCUCUGGUCAUUGCACAAUUUGUUCACACUGGAAAUUAGAAUGAGAAAUUUGUUGAUGCUGUUUUGAGAGAUCUGCAUUCUAUGCACAAUAACAUGAUUAAUGAAAAUGCAUUGUAGGACUGGAAAGAUCUGUGGCAGCCUGAGCUCGCAGGAAGAAUUUCAAUGGUUAAUUCUCCCCGAGAGGUUAUUGGUUCAGUUUUGAAGUAUAGGGGAACAUCAUACAAUUCAAACUAUAUUGAUUCGCAAGUUGCUGGUGGAAGAUUGCUGUUCAGCAGAAUCUGGCAUUACUGGCAAACCAGGUACUCUUACAGAAAUCAUAUCUGGUCAUUGCAUGUUAUUGCCUGACAACUGAUUUUGUUUGUAAAAGUCUGCUUCUUCAUACAUAUGAAUGCAUAUGUUAGUGUUUUCUUCUCCUUUUCAUACAUAUAAAUGCAUAUGUUAGUGUUGUCUUUUCCUUUUCACACAUAUUAAUACAUAUGUUGGUGUUCUCUCCUGAGAUGGAUGCAAUAAAGGCUUUUGCUCCUAAAUUUAGCUGAAGAAAUGGCAAGGGAUGUGAGAUUCUGUCUCAUUAAAUUAACAAAAACCCAAAACAAUGAAAAUCCAUAAUAAUGUGGUGUGGGUAAAUUGGCUCCAUUUGGUUCGUUUCCUUAAUGUGAAUGCGAGCAAUAGAGACUAACAAAAUGAAGUGACAACAAGAAGUCAGUGUCCUUUGAUGGAUGCAUUUUUAGCAGAAAUAUGUUUGUAAUUGACCAAAUUUGUCUGGCAUGCCAAUUUCAAAAAAAUUAAAUUAUGUGGUUAUUAGCUGUAAUGAAGGGGAUAGUAGGUGCAAUCAGGUGUAUCCAGGAAAGUUCAACAAAGUUUUGGUAUGGCGUAGUGAAAUUGGUUUGUGCAACUCAGGAGUCUUUCAGGUGAACGAUGAUAGGUUUUGAUUUAUGAAUAUUAUAAAUCUACUGUGCAUAGUAUUCUAGUAGAAUCAUCUAUAAGUUCUAGUUAUUGUAUACUUUGCCUGGUUUGAGUUAAGGGCACAUGUAAUAUGAAAGAUAGUUGUCGCAUCUUUUAGGUUACCUAACAUUUGAUCAAUCCUAUUAUGGGGGCUUCAAGAUGUCUAACAAUAUGUAGAAUGCCCAUGCUCCUCCCCAUUGUUUAUCUUCUACAAUAAUUUGUUUUAGAUGCUAAUAUCUUUGUCGAUACCGGUAACAAUAUUACAAUAUCUGCGUUUAUUGGGUUUUACAUAGGUUCGACUGUUUGACAGUACACACUAUCUGAAGGCAUUUGCAAUUGGAGAUGUAUGGGUUGCUGUUGGGUGGAUUAGUGAUGUUCUUCCUGCUGUCAAACAUAUGUCUAAUGUUGCUGUUGUUGUUCCCAAGUCUGGUGCUAGCUUAUGGGCUGAUCUUUGGGUAUACCCAUGCCUGCCAUUCUACUUCAAUAUUCACAUUGUUAUCUCCUUCAUAUUAGUGAUCAGUAAACACGAUAAUGUGACUAAUAAGUUCGUAUUCUCUUUAUAGGCAAUCCCUGCUGCCUCAAGACUUGAAACAAAACAAAUUGGAGGGCGAGUCAGAGGUGCAUUUCCAUUAAUCCAUCAAUGGAUAGAAUUCUGCUUGCAAACAGCGAGAGCAUUGCCUUUCAAGCAAGAGGUUAUCCCGAGCGCAUCUCCCUCUGCCCUUGAGUACUCUGGUUAAGUUGCCUGAAGAACUUUUCAAGGGUAAACCAAGUCUGGAUACUAACUUAAUUGCUGGAGUACCCCCGACUGAAAUUCUGGCCAGAUGUGAGUUUUGGAGCCUUUAUUUGAAGCUACAUUGUCGGAUUAUGAGUGGCUGGUUACUAAUCUGCAAAAAUCCACUCCUGUACUGAUCAACAAGAUGCAACAUUACAUGUCAUCAUUGAUCUUUAGCUAAAGGUACAUUGAAAAGUUAAUGGCACUGCAUACCAGUCAUUAUAAUUGGGUCAGGGCAAUUAGGUCAGAGCAUAACUUCAUUAGGAAAAGAUGCUUCAGCUACGUUAAAUAUUACAGGAUGUACUGAGAUGGCUGAAGCUGUUGAGGUUUUACGAGAAUCGAAAGAUAGUGUUUGUUUGAACAAAGUUGUUGCCAAUCUUGCAGAGUUCGAGAAGAAAGAUCACGAAGUGAAUGCCACCGAUUUCUUCAUCAUUGUAGCCUCCAUAGUUGAAGUUUCCUCAUUUGAAGCUGUUUAUGCAUACGAUUUUCCCCUGCUCAAGUACAGGAAAUUGAAGAAUUAACCAGAUGUGAUAUGCUGAAAGAGGGAAGUUUUCUUCCUUGAAUGUGGUCUUUGUGAUUUGUCUUGAAGGAAUAGGGUGAUCACUGGCAAGAACCCUAUCAAGGUAGAUUUUAUGAUGUUAACAUAUCAUUAAGCAUUUUGUUACAUCAGCAAUGAUGCUUUCAUAGCAGCAUGAAAGUGUUUAAAUUUUAACUGAAUGAUCUUGAUUGAUCAAUUAUGAGUUUUAAUCGAGUAAAAACUAAAUACAAUAAUCGUUAACAAAUAUUGAAAUUGGGUAAAUAUGAUCUUGAUAUUGAAGAAUUUGAAAUCACAACCCACACAGGAAAUCACCCUUCGCGUGGGGAUGGAGAUGUUACUGCAGCGAUAUUGAAUAUGUCCACCGCUCUUUGGGUUAUGGUGCGACUUGCCCUGAAACAAUGGAAAAGAAUAAUUAUAAUUUAACGCCAAGACAUAAAAUUAAAACGUGUGGACUCCGGUAGCUGCCCUACAAGUCUACAACUCUACAAACAUUAACUCUACAAACAUUAAACGUGUGGACUCCGGUAGCUGCCCUACAAGUCUACAACUCUACAAGAAUAAUUUCUAGCCCUGUUGACUCCACUAACUAAAGAAAUUUCAAAAACGUACAUAGAAUUCCACAACAAGCAAAACGUAUGGAAUUUAAUUUUUUGCCGUGUGGAACAAAAUACAAUUUAACAAAAAAGGAUAGAAAAAUGGUAAGAUUUCUAAAAUGAGUGGAAGGUGAUUCAUAUUUUACUGAAAUGACUUGUCCUGAACAUUAAGACGAUUGAUUUUUUUUUUUUAAUAACAUCAACUUCCAUAUCUUUCUAACCCCUAGAAUAUGCUCACGUUCAAGUCUAUCUUGGUAAUUUGAAAAAGAAAAUCAAAUCAAAUCAACACCAAAACAAUGAAAAGUAAAACUUUUGAAUUUCAACUUUAAACUUUUGUUAACCCUAGAAUAUUCAGCGUUUUCAAAUUCUUCCGAUUGCAUAUCUUCUUCCUCCAUCAAUGCAAUAUUUGAACGAUUAUGAAAGAGUUUAAGAACAUAAAAAAUCUCCAAGGUUUAUACGGUAUAACAAAUUUAAAUUCUCAAUUACAAUAGAUAAUAAUUAAACUAAUAAUUUUUUAUGUACUUAUUUUAGUAAUUUCACCUAAGAAUAAUAUUGUAAUUAGAAAAAAAAAUCUAAUAAGUAGGGUGGUCUUAUACAAAAUCAACUGUACUGUGAUGAGUUUCCUUUUGUUAAUAAUUUUAGUCUAAUUUCAAUUGUACUGUGAUCGCUUCUCAAGGUAAGUGAAAGUUACAGAUGGCAAAAUAAAUAAUUAAGUUAACAAAAUGCUAACUAAUUUUCCUCAAUACCUAGGGUUGUACAAUUUCACCAACCUGGAAGAAUUGACAUUAAUGGACUGGUCUCCUCCCAUAUAAUUAUAAUCCUUCUAGAAAGCUAUUUUUAUUAAAUAUUUGCUUUUAAGUUAAUUUCAAUUAAAAAUGUUUUAAGUUAAUAUAUACUCUAAUGAGAUUCUGAAUUCCUUAUUCAAUAAUAAUGAAAACGUAUUAAAUUAGAAAUGAAAAAAUUGGUGUUGAUGAUUCAACCUAUUUGGAUAGAUUACGUGAAUAAAAUUUAAAAUUUUGAUUUAAUUUUGUUUAUUGUUAAUUCUCAGGCUAUCUUUAAUUUCAAGAAUUUAGAAUGUUAAUUUGGUCAUGGAUUUCAACCCGUGAGUGUCAUAUUCUAGACUUAAUGGUACCAUUCUUUGAUUGAGGGCAAUGACUCUCACUCCUCUUGUAAAAAAAUAUUUUCAACUAUUUUGAUGACUUAAAAAUUGAUAGAUUUAUUGUUGUCAUGACCAAAUUAUUCAUUUUAAUGAAAUAUAAUUAAUGCAUCAAAGUUACAGGUUAUGUCUAUCUUAAUGCGCUUUUUUUUUUUCAGUUAUAGCUUCUGCUUACGUCUGUUUCAUUUUUUUUAAAUAAAAAAACAAGGGAAGGUUUUCCGAGUCAUCCAUUAUUUGAUUUCCGUCAAUCAAGAAAACGACCAAAUUAAUUUCUCUCCAAAAUUUCCAAAAGCUAGAAAAUUUUGUUAUUUGAAAAUAACAUGAAUUAAUUAUAGAGUGGAUCAAACCGCGUUAUUGUCUUUCAUAAAAUUGAUGUCUUUUAAGAGUCAAUACUUUUUUAUUUACGCAAACCAGUCGACAUCAAUUUAAACUUCCAUAUUUUAUUAUUAUUAUGUUAUUUAUUUUAAUCGCCGAUUAUUUGAUUAGCCACUAUAUAUAUCAAGAAAGCGACAAAAUUUAUUUCUCAUGACUUCCAAAAACAGAAAAACAACAUCAUUUAUUAUUUUUUUGCAACCUAAUUGACAUCACUUUAACUUAUUAUGUUAUUAUUUCAAUCCCCCAUUAUGACCUUUCUAAUCCUUCCAUUAUGCAUCUUUUAUAGUGCAAAUUGUAAUUGCACAUCUAAAUAAAUUGAAUAUUGUUACUCCACACCCAAUAUUUCAAAUAGUCACUAGACCAUUUCUGCCUUUAAUUUCCCUUAACUAUUGACUGUUUUUAGCAUCUUAAAAUAUACAUUUAUUCUUGAUUAUGUGAUAAAAUUAUGAAAUAUUCCAUUUUAGCUUAAAUUAAUUGGAAUAACCAUAAGCGUAACAUAAAUUAAUAGAACAAAAUUAUCAAGUGUAUGUUCUAUCUUACUUUUUGAAGAAUUUAACAUAUAUAAUGCUAUACUAUUAAUAAAUUUUUCAUUUACUAUAUAUGUUCAAUAUUUUAUAUAUUUAUUAAUUGUUAUAUAGUCACAGGAUGAAUGAUUUUUUCAGGUCUACAUGAGUUGGUGCACAUGCAAGACUCAAUUUUGACAACAAUGAUCUAAGGGGUAAUUUACCUUGGUGUUUGACAAACAUAACCUUCUUCAUGAUUUACUUCCAAUCUACUUACUGUAAAUAUCUCCUCAUCUCCUCUCAUUUAUAUGAUAAGUGAUAACCCUUGAAGAUCUCACAUUUUCAAACGAUCAUAUUAGGGUUUUUAUUAUUAGCAUCAUUGUGUCAACAAAAUAUAUGUUGCAGUAAGAUUUUUUUCAGACCAAUUCCCUUCUUCAAAUAAUUAAUGGAAAAGUAUUAAUUUAAAAAUAAAAUGAAUAUGCAUUGAUUAUAUCCUGAUUUCCAUCGAUUAUAGCGAGAGGUUCUCCGAAUCAACUCCCUUAUUCAAAUAAUACAGAAAAAAUAGUAAUUUAAUAGUAAAAUUAGCAAGUGUUGAUUAUAUAUCCUAAGUUUCAUCGAUUAUGUGAUCAAAGUGGCAUUGUUGAUUUAUUUUCUUGUUCAAUGUUAUUUUUAGGUUAUCUAAAUUUCAAAAGGAUUUAAAAUCUUUGUUCAUGGAUUACAACGCUUAUUAAUUUUUCUGCCAUUGACUGUCAUAUUCUAGACUUAAGGUACCUUCCUUGAUCAAGGAUAAUUACUCUAUGUUCCCUCUUAUAAAUUCCUCUUCAUUAACAUCACUAAGGAGUAUGUUGAUCUCUCAGACGUUAACUUUAGUGGAGAGUUUCCAAAUUGAUUGUUACAAAACAACACAAAAACUAGACACACUUGAUCUGUCUAAUAAUUCUCUUUCGAUAAAAUUAAUUAAUUUUAGGGGAAUAUUCGACCAACCUCUAUAAUUUCAUAUUGAUCAUUAAUUAAUUAGACGAAAAAAGUACUUGUGCUUUUGUGGCGACAAUUGAACUAGAGAAGUGAAGCUGUAAAGAUUUGGCAGUAGUAAAUUGUAGAAGACAUAAAGACAAUUUCCCAUUUUAUAAUUUUUUCAAAAAACUUUUUUACAACACAUGCACCUGGCCAAAAUUUUAUUUUGCUAACUAACAAUAAUUGAGUAGCUGACCGUAUUGACUCCGCCUACUUGCUAAAGUAAAAAAAUAGAAAUAGAAUUUCCACAAAAUGUCAAACAUGUAAAAUCUAAUAUUUGGCCAUGUGGAACAAAUACAAAUGAAAAAAAAAAUAGAAAAAAGGCCUAAAGACUUUUAAAAUUGUGUGGAAAUCUUUCGGCCCUUUUAUAAUGGUGUGUUUUUCAAAGGAACAACUAAUAAUAAUGACACUUCUACGGUUUGUUUUGAUAAUUACACAUAUACUCUUUAAUUUGAUAAAUGGUUACACAAAUUUUGUUUACAAAAAUAUAUUAUUCAUGUUCUGUAUUAUUUUUUAACAUCAUAUUUUUAUUUAUUAUAAUUGUUUAAAGUUAAUUGUUAGGUUGAUAUAUAAUAAAACGUAUAAUCGUUCUCUUACUAAACACACAAUACUCGUAGUUUCUAUCCAUUUGUCAUCUCAAUCUCUCUCAUUUAUCCUUUCUUGAUAGCUCAAAACGCGUCACUGUGGAAAAUAAUAGCAAAACGACAAAUAUGGAAGAAUGGGAAGAAAAUUAAUGCAUGAAAGAGUUGCAGAAGACAACCAAAUAAGUCAACUAUACGCUAGUUGGGUGUAUAAAUUGUUAGAUGUGUUAUAAACAAAUAGCAUAGAGCCUUGGUUGGUUACAGAGAUAGAAAAACUGUGUGUGUUUUUUAGAACUUAAAGAUACAGUUAGAAUGGGUGGUUCAAAAUCAAAAUGGUGAUAAUGUUUGUUCUGUUAUUAAUAAUAUUAGAAGGUGGGUGGAGUGAAGGAUGUUUGGAUCAUGAGAGAUUUGCUCUUUUGCGACUCAAACAUUUCUUCGAUGAUACUGGUAGUUAUUUUUACUACUGGGCAGAUGGUGAGGGAGCUACUGAUUGUUGUCAGUGGGAAAGGGUUGAGUGCAGCAACACCACAGGCAAGUGAUAGUGCUAGACCUUUUUUGAAACGUAUUUGGGAGAGUACAGCUGGUAUCUGAAUGCUUCUUUGUUUACUCCCUUUCAACAACUUGAGUCACUUGAUUUAUAUGGCAACAAAAUAGUCGGUUUUGUUGAGAAUGAAGGUACUUCGUCUAAUUCAAUUAAUUUACAUUUCGCUCUCCUAAUUUAAGUCGAAUAUCAAGACUGAGCAGCUAUAUGCAUAUUCAUUCAAUUGACAAUUUUUACAUAUUUUUUAAAAUGUUUAAUUUUGAAAUUACACCAAACAUCAUAUGUGGUUUUGAUUUUACUUGCAGGUCUAGAAAGAUUGAACAACUUGAAGAGGCUUGAUUUAAGUUAUAACUUGUUCAACAAUAGCAUCUUAUCAUCUGUGGCUCAUCUUUCUUCACUAACAUCAUUAGAUUUAUCUGGAAAUAGAUUGGAAGGAAGUAUUAAUGUUAAAGGUACGUAAUUAAAACGUCAUCGCUUCUCUCAACUCUUUCAUUAACAUGCUAAAAUAAGAUUCAAGGCUUUGAAUUCAUUUUUUUUUAUGAGUAAAUAUUAGAAAAAUAGUUUUAAGCAAUUCAUAAAUACAAUUUUCAAUGUUUCUCAUAAUUUCAUCUUGUACUUUCGUAUGUCUUGACUUUAAGAUUAAAAAAAAAAAUUACUCUAACUGUGAAGCAAAUACCCCAUGACUAAUUUAUCAUUUCGUCCAGUUAAAAAUGAUAAAAUUUAUCAUUUGUUUAUAUUGAUUAAUUAACUCUAUUUUAAGUCUUAAGUCUUGGCGUCUUGGCAUAUUUGCAGAAUUUGAUUCCUUGAGCAACUUAGAGGAGUUGGACAUGAGCGACAAUGAAAUAGACAAUUUAGAGGUUCCUCAAGGUAAACAAUUAAAAUAUAUUCAAUUACAUUAAUUUAAUUCGUUUGAUUAGGGAAGACCCAAAAGGUACAAAAUAUAAUAAUAAUAAUAAAGAAACAGAGAAUCUAUAUUAUUUCAAAAAAUAAAACGUAAUACUAUUAUUUCAAAAAUAGAUUGUAAUAAAGAUUUGAUUCCGGUUCUUUAAUCUUUACAGCAAUUGAAAAACGAUGUUGCUCUUUUCCUGAAGCAUAAAAUAUGAAAUGACUCCAAUACAAUUAAUCAUUUAUUUCGUUUACUCUAAAAUUAGACAAUGAAUCUUUAUUUUCUUCAGUCUUAUCCUAAUUAUUAUUAAUAAACAGGUUACAAAGGUUUGAGGAAGUUGAAUUAUCUUGAUCUAUCGAAUGUUGGAGUUAGAGAUGGAAGCAAGUUGUUACAGUCAAUGGGAUCAUUCCCAUCCCUCAACACUCUUUACCUGAAGGAUAAUAAUUUUACCGAUAUAGCGACAACUACUACUCAAGGUAAGUAAAAGAUACAGAUGUGGCCAAAUUUACAAAUAAAUUGUUAAUUAAUUAAUUUUUCCGUAUUAUUAAUAAAGCUAAAUUCGUCGCUCCUUCCUUCUAAUUCUAAACAGAGUUGGCAAUUUCACCAACUUGGAGUAUUUGACAUUGGACUUGUCCUCGCUCCAUUUAAGCCUUCUACAAUUACUUGAAGAAUGAAUUUAUUUAUUAUUAUUAUUGUUGUUGUUGUUGUUGUUGAAGUGAGGUGGGCAAGCGUUCACUCAAUUAAUAUGUGAGGAAUUAAUAAUUACAAUCCAAGGUAGAAUUGUGGAAAAUUAAAGCAAAAUGAGAAAUAUGGAAAGAAAGGAAGAAAGUUAAGGGCAUGAAAGACUAGGAGAAGACUAAAGACCACCAAAUAAGUCAACUGAAAACUAGCUGGGGCCUGGGUGUACAAAUUGUUAGAUGUGUUUGUUAUAAAUAACAUAGAGCCAUCUUGUUGGUUGCAGAGGCAGAGAGACACAGAGUGUGCAUUUUGUUAAUUAAAAAUAUAUAUAAAAUGGGUGGUUCAAAAUCCAAAAUGGUGAUAAUGUUAGUUUUGUUAGUAUUAAUAAUAUUAGAAGGGAGGUGGCGUGAGGGAUGUUUGGUGCAUGAGAGAUUUGGUCUUUCGAGACUUAAAACAUUUCUUCAAUUCUCCUUAUAAUUUUUGUCACGACUGACCGUUGUCAAUGGGAUGGGGCUGGGUGCAGGGUUGAUUUACGUUAGAACAAUAUAGCCGGUAGUGUUGAGAAUGAAGGUGUUUCAUUUAAUUUAAUUAAUUUACUUUCUCCCUCCUAAUUUAAGUGGAAUAUCAAGACUGAACAAUUAUAUGCAUCUUCGUUCAGUUGACAAUUUUGACAUUUUUUUUAAGUGAUUAAUUUUGAAAUUACACCAAACAUUAUUUGUGAUCUCUGUUUGACUUUACUUGCAGCGCUAGAGACGUUAUCAAGAUUGAGCAACUUGACGAUACUUGAUUUAAGUUAUAACUUGUUCAAUAAUAGCAUCUUGUCAUUUGUUGCCCGUCUUUCAUCAUUAACAUCAUUAGAUUUAUCUUACAAUGGAUUGGAAGGAAGUAUUAAUGUUAAAGGUACGUAAUUAAAACGUCAUCGCUUCUCCAACUCUUCCAUUAACAUGCUAAAAUAAGAUUCAAGGCUUUGAAUUCAAUUUUUUUUUAUGAGUAAUAUUAGAAAAAUAGUUUUAAGCAAUUCAUAAAUACAAUUUUCAAUGUUUCUCAUAAUUUCAUCUUGUACUUUUGUAUGUCUUGACUUUAAGAUUAAAAAAAAAUUACUCUAACUGUGAAGCAAAUACCCAUGACUAAUUUACAAUUUUGUCCAGUUAAAAAUGAUAAAAUUUAGGGAAAUUAUCAUUUGUAUACCCUUAGUUUACUCUAUUAUCAAAAAUACUACAACACUUUGAGGGUGUAUCAAUCGUCCACCCUAAGUUGACAAAAUGUAUUAGCCAACCACCAAACCGUUAGUUGCCGUUUAAAUAUGAUAACAUCAUAAGGGUAAUCUGGUCUUUUCAUAUGAUACAAGUGAUAAUUUAAGGGUAUACAAGUGAUAAAAAGAGAGUUUAAGGGGAUACAAGUGAUAAUUUUCAAGGUAAAAUCGUCAAUUUACUGUAAUUCCGUUAACUUUCAAACGGCAAUUAACAGUUUGGUGGUCGGUUGAUACAUUUCAUCAACUUAGGGUGGACGAUUGAUACACCCUUAAAGUGUUGUAGUAUUUUUGAUAAUAAAGCAAAUAUAGGGUAUACGAAUGAUAAUUUCCCUAAAAUUUAUCAUUUGUUUAUAUUGAUUUAUUAACUCUAUUUUAAGUCUUAAGUCUUAAGUCUUGGCAUGUUUGCAGAAUUUGAUUCCUUGAGCAACUUAGAGGAGUUGGACAUGAGCGGCAAUGAAAUAGACAAUUUCAAGGUUCCUCAAGGUACACAAUUAAAAUAUUAUUUAAUUACAUUAAUUUAAUUCGUUUGAUUAGGGAAGACCCAAAAUGUACAAAAACAUAAUUAAAAAAAAAUAAAGAAACAGAGAAUUCAUAUUAUUUCAAAAAACAAAAGGUAAUACUAUUAUUUCAAAAAAAGAAUGUAAUAAAGAUUUGAUUCCGGUUCUUUAAUCUUUAUAGCAAUUGAAAAACAAUGUUGCUCUUUUCCUAAAGCAUAAAAUAUGAAAUGAGUCAUAAUUGAAUUAGUCAUUUAUUUUGUUUAGAUCUAAAUUUAGACAAUAAAUUUUGAUUUUUUUUUCAAUUCUAUCCUUAUUAUUAUUGUUAAACAGGUUACAGAGGUUUGAGGAAGUUGAAAAGCCUCUAUCUAUCGAAUGUUGGAGUUAGAGAUGGAAGCAAGUUGUUACAGUCUAUGGGAUCAUUCCCAUCCCUCAACACUCUUUACCUGAAGGAUAAUAAUUUUACCGAUAUAGCGACAACUACUACUCAAGGUAAGUAAAAGGUACAGAUGUGGCCAAAUUUAUAAAUAAACUGUUAAUUAAUUAAUUUUCUGUAUUAUUAAUAAAGCUAAAUUUUUGCUCAUUCCCUCUAAUUCUAAACAGAGUUGCACAAUUUCACCAACUUGGAAUAUUUGACAUUGCACGGUUCCUCUCUCCAUAUAAGCCUUCUGCAAAGCAUUGCAUCAAUAUUCCCUUCGUUAAAAAAUCUGUCGAUAUCUUAUUGUGAAGUCAAUGGUGUCGUACAUGGUCAAGGUAAAAGAAAAGUGUUGGUUGUGCACUCACUGAGUGUUGUCCUACGUAUUCAAUAUUUUUAUUUAUUUAUUUUAUUGUUUAAUGUUUCUGCUAGGUUUUCCUCAUUUCAAGAGUUUGGAACAUUUGGGCAUGAUGUCCACGCGCAUUGCACUCAACACCAACUUUCUUCAAGUCAUCAGUGAAUCGAUGCCUUCUCUUAAGUACUUAUCACUGUCAUAUUCUACUCUUGGCACUAACAGCAGCAGGAUUCUUGAUCGAGGUUAAUCAGAUGCUCCCACCCUCCAUUCUUAAUCUAUAAUAUUAAUUUUCAGUUAAAUAUUUAAUUACACAAACCAAUCACUUAUUAUAAAAGAACAAUACGCAUUCAUUAAUUUUUAUAUUAUAUUAAUUGAUGAAUUUAAUAAAUUCCAGGCCUCUGUUCGCCGGUGCAUCUGCAAGAGUUAUACAUUGGUUCUAACGAUUUAAGAGGUAGCUUGCCUUGGUGCAUGACAAAUUUGACAUCCCUCCGAAUAUUAGAUGUUUCUUCCAAUCAACUUACUGGAAGCAUCUCCUCGUCUCCCCUCAUUCAUUUGACAUCCAUUGAAAAGCUGUAUCUUUCAAACAAUCACUUCCAGAUCCCAAUUUCACUUGAACCACUUUUCAAUCAUUCAAGACUCAAGACUUUUUAUGCUGACAACAACGAACUAAAUGCAGAAAUAACUCAGUCACAUUCUUUGACCGCCCCAAACUUCCAAUUAUCACGUCUCUCAUUGUCUUCCGGUUAUGAAGAUGGCGUCACAUUCCCCAAAUUCCUUUACCAUCAACAUGAUCUGGAGACUGUUGAGCUCUCACAUAUAAAGAUGAAUGGAGAAUUUCCAACUUGGUUGUUGGAAAACAACACAAAAUUGAGACAACUUUCUCUCGUCAAUGAUUCUCUUGGAGGACCUUUCCGGUUGCCAAUUCAUUCACACAAGCGGUUAGGAAUGUUGGAUAUAUCCAACAACAACUUCCGAGGCCACAUUCCAAUAGAAAUUGGAGAUGUUUUACCAAGUCUAUACCUUUUCAACAAUUCCAUGAAUGCUUUAGACGGUAGCAUUCCCUCUUCAUUUGGUAAUAUGAAAUUCCUCCAAAUUCUGGACUUAUCCAACAAUCACUUGACUGGUGAAAUCCCCGAGCACUUGGCCGUUGGUUGCGUCAACUUGCAGUCUCUUGCAUUAUCAAAUAACAACCUACAAGGUCACAUGUUCUCUAGAAAUUUUAACUUGAUAAACUUGAAAUGGUUACAAUUGGAGGGCAAUCGCUUCAUAGGUGAGAUCCCACAAAGUUUGUCUAAAUGCUCCUCACUAGAAGGAUUGUAUCUUAACAAUAAUAGUCUUUCGGGUAAGAUUCCACGAUGGUUGGGUAAUCUCACAUGGUUACAAUAUAUUAUAAUGCCCAAUAAUCAUCUUGAAGGCCCUAUUCCAGUGGAGUUUUGUCAGCUUGAUUUGCUUCAGAUUUUGGACAUUUCAGACAACAACAUAUCUGGAAGUUUACCAUCUUGUUUCCAUCCUCUCUCUAUCAAACAAGUUCAUCUUUCAAAAAAUAUGUUACAUGGACAGCUAAAAAGAGGUACAUUCUUUAAUUGCUCUUCCCUUGUGACAUUAGAUCUUAGCUAUAAUCGCUUGAAUGGCAGCAUUCCGGAUUGGGUUGAUGGGCUUUCUCAGUUAAGCCACCUUAUCUUAGGUCAUAAUAAUCUUGAAGGUGAAGUGCUAGUUCAAUUGUGCGAAUUGAACCAACUACAAUUGUUAGAUCUUUCUAAUAAUAAUCUUCACGGUCCUAUUCCUCCUUGCUUUGAUAACACCACACUUUAUGAAAGUUACAGCAAUAGUUCUAGUCUUGAUGAGCAAUUUGAAAUAUUUUUUUCCAUCGAAAGCCCUCAGGGAAAUGUAGAAAAGCAAAUCCAUGAAAUUUUUGAGUUCACAACAAAGAACAUUGUGUACAUUUACCAAGGAAAAGUGCUUAGCCUCCUAUCAGGACUUGAUCUUUCUUGCAACAAGCUAAUUGGUCCUAUUCCUCCUCAAAUUGGAAAUUUGACAAGGAUUCAAACAUUGAAUCUAUCACACAACGACUUGAUAGGAUUGAUCCCAUCAACAUUUUCAAACUUGAAGCAUGUCGAAAGUUUGGAUCUUUCCAACAACAAAUUGAAUGGGAAAAUCCCUCAUCAACUAGUGGAGUUAAAGACAUUGGAGGUUUUCAGUGUGGCAUACAAUAACUUAUCAGGCGAAAUUCCAGAAUGGACUGCACAAUUUGCAACCUUCAAUGAGAGUAGCUAUGAGGGAAAUACUUUUCUUUGUGGAUUGCCAUUGCCCAUUUGCAGAUCACCAGCAACUAUGUCGGAGGCUUCAAUUGGCAAUGAACGAGAUGAUAAUUUAAUUGACAUGGACAGUUUCUUUAUCACAUUUACAACAUCGUACGUAAUUGUGAUAUUUGCAAUUGUUAUUAUUUUAUAUGUAAAUUCUUAUUGGCGACGUAGAUGGUUUUACUUUGUUGAAAUGUGGAUAACUUCAUCUUACUAUUUUGUUGUAGACAAUCUUAUUCCAACAAGAUUUUAUCAUUGAAAUUAAUUAGUAGUUUAAUUACGAUUCUUUAAGUACUAAUCAAGUUUGUUUAGGAAAUAUUUUUUUAUUAAAAUUGUAGUAGUAUUUAGCAUUAUAUAGCUUCCAACUUCCAAGCACUUCACAUUUGUCUCUACACUUAAAAAACUGAGUGAUCAUGUUUUGCAGAUCUGGAUUUGGAGCAGGAUGGAUCCAAACCCAUAUCUGUCCACCGUAACUUAUAGCUUCCCUAUACUGUGCAGCAUACUUAAAUAAGAGAACCAUCUCCAAUGUUAAAAGCAUUCACUCUAUAACAUUCAUUUAGAAACUAUAUUCAGAAUAAUUUUAUAAUUAAACACAAGAAAUGAAACACACAGAUACACUUGAUCGCCUAUUUUACUCUAAAAAAGAACGAUUAUUGUGCUAUCAUCAUCUUCUUCACUAGCAACAUUAACACCAAAUCGAUGGACCCAUACAUUUCAUCAAGAAAGGUCUAUAUCCAAUAAAGUUGAAGCCUAACAAAAAAUUCAAGAAGAUUCAUGCCUCGCCACAACAAGGGGCACAACAACAUCAAAGUAGAGAUUAAGCAGUAUUCUCAAAGCUAAAACUCUCAAAUCCACCCACCAGAAUUUCAUAUCUCCUCAACAAUUUUAAGAACUAAAGAUAAUUAGGAUUUAACAUUAGUUUUUUAUAUAUUAGUUUCAUAAUUUACAAAUCAAUGAAGAUGAAGAUUAUGCUAAUAAAUUCAAAUUAUACCAUACAUUCUCUAGAUGUUACCAAAAAUUUCUAAGUCAAUCCCACAUAUUUCAUAAUUUUAAGACUAGAAAAUUUCACUAGUUAGAAGUUUCAUUACCUUCAAGUGGAAGAUGAAGAACAUUAUACAAGUGAUUCAGAUUAUAUCAUACAUACUCCAAAUGCAACUAGAAAUUAACAAGUUCAUGCACACAUAUUUCAUAACAUUAUGAUUGAAAAGUUUCACAGAGAAAUUCUAAAUUCAAUCUCUUGCAUGAAGGCAAUUUGAUUGAUUUGAGUUACUUUCUUAUCAAGCUACUAAUAUAACAUUCAAGUCAGGGAGAAAAUAAAUUAAAACUGGGAAGAAAUAACAGUAAAAAUUUGUUGCUCAACAUGAUGUGUAUUUUUUUUCAAGGCAAUUUGGAAACACAAUUGUUACCACAGAUAUUCUUCUCAACUUGGAGAUAAAUACAAAUAUUAAAAUGCAUAUGAUCGCACAUAUUACUUCGAGUUUAGUAAGAUUUCAUUAAAAGAAGCAAUCAAACCACUUAUCAAUUGUCGCAGUCGUUCUAUAAACUAAAAUAGCAAUAUAAUACAAGAAAAAGAACAUAUAGAUACUUGGCAAGAGUUCAUUAAGAAGUCACAUCACAUUCAGGUGAGGAGUUUGCUUCUGAUAUCUUGCUAGCUGGGGCUUUUUCUUGUCUUUCUACGUAUGCCGAGGGAAACCAACCAGCUUGGCCCUUGCAUUCACCUUCCGACCAUCCAAUAGGAGCCACCUUGAGAAGUUAUAACUAAA